rnacentral:lncRNA from 1 species
UUGCCUUUUUCUCCCAUAGCUCAUAGCCAUUUAUGAUCAUAAUAAUGUAUUAAUAUUGAAACCAAUGUGGCACGAUGGGGGCACCUCUAACUCUAUUAUUUUUGUAGUGAAACAUAGGUAUAUAUGACACAUCUUAUAAUAUAAAUAUAUUAAAAAUAUGAUGUAUUAUGAUAUGAUCAAUUUUAUUUUUUUAUUAAUUAUUAAUGUUGAUUUUUUAUUAUUAAAAUGUUUUCUUGAUAACUUUAUUACAAAGUAAAACAAUUCAAUAUUUACGAAAUCAAUAUAAUAAUAAAUAUAAUGACUUUGUUACUCUGUGCAACCCCUCAAUUCAAACCGAUGCUUGUUGUUGCACCAUGAAAGAUGUUGUAAAGCACGUAUGGAUAAUUGUCUAGACACUUAUGAAUAUUCAAAUCAAAACUGUGAAAGCCUAGAAAAAUACUUGUCUAGACACUUAUGGAUAAUUGUGAUACACUCAUUGACAUUCAGUUAAUAGCAAACCAAUCAUAUAAGAUACUUUUUUUUUGUUUAGUUGUUAUAUAUGUAUACUUAUGAGUUUUAUCAUAAGAAUCAUUGACAGUGAAAAUAGACUUAAUAUAUGAUGUUAAUUCAUUGAUAUAAUGUAUUAAUAUGGGAACCGAUGUGGCGUGAUGGGCACCUCUAACUUUAUUAUGUUUGUCACAUAUGCAUUGACCAAAUUAUAUAGAAAACUUAAUUAUAACACAUAUGCAUUAAACUUAUAAUACAAAUAUGUUAAAAUUAAUUAGGACAUGACCAAAUUUUAUUUUUUAAUAAUUAUCGCUAUUGAUUUUUUUUUAUUAAAAUAUUUUUUUAUAGUUGUUGUUAUUAAUUAGUAGUAUUAUUAUUAUGUUUGACUUUUAAAUCCUUUUCGGGACUUGUAAAAAUAGAUUCCUUAAGGGGACUUCUAAGCUACAUAUGACUUAAAUUAAAGAGUAAAAAAAUGUGAGUACAAUUUUAUUUUAUUUUUUGUAUGAAUUAAAGAAUAAAAAAGUAGUGGACAAAUUUUAAUAAAAAAUGUGAGUAUGAUUUUUGUGAUAUUCUUUAAAUUAAAGAAUAUAUAAUCUUCUGAUUCAACCUCUUGAGGAUUCAAAUUUGGCAAUUAUGUACUUUUGCUUAACUUAAUCAAGGGUUGACUAGGCUUGAUCUUGACUCUUCCACAUCAAUAGUUGAUUUGUACCAAAAUAUAUACUUAUAAAAACACUAAUGAUUGCGCUCUAGACUCGCAACGGGGACAAAUCACUAUUUAUAUCUUAGAUUAGUGUUAAUAUCCAUUUUGAGAACUAAUGCACUAUUUUUUAAUAAACAGACAAAGAAAAGGAGAAAUGUGAGAAUUUGAUGCUAUUUUGACAUAUGAAAUAAAAUAAAGGUACGAAUAUAACGCAUAAAGAUGUCCUAGUAUUUAUUGAAGUGGAGAAAGUGGAGUAAAGCAAGAACAAUCACAAAAGCAUAUCAAAUUGGUUUAAGGAGUAUUAAAAUUGAUUUGAGGUCAAACUAAUAACAAAAGAAAUGAAGUAACACAAACCAAUGCCCAAAAUUAAUAUUCCCAUUUCAAAACCAAUUCAGGAGGACAAUGAAGAUGCAUUAGUAGUAAUUCGCAUUCAAAUUCUGAUUUGUAAAGCUUUAAAUUAGUUUUGACGAUUCCACUUUAAAGAGAAAUUGGUUUCACUAGAGCUUCUUGCAAGUUUCCCAUUGAAAUUCAUAUUUGAGACUUUACUUUUGUAAUUAUGGUUUGUUAGAUAUUACUUUUGUUAAAGUGGCCAAUGAGGUUAAGUGACAUGUACUUUUAGGGUUAGAUUAUACAUACUUUUCAUUAAUGGGUUAAAAGGAGAGUGUAGUUUUAUAUUUGGAUUUUCAUGUUCAUAUGUUGAAGAUCUUUUGCUUUAUUUUCAAUAAUACCAUAGGUUCCUUAUUAUCUUAUGAAAUUUGUGUGAAAACUCAACCAUGAGAGGCUAUGAACCUUUCUUCUAGCAAUGUAGCAUAAAAGGUGGAGGAUUGGGACAAAGGGCAAUGAGUAUAGUAAGGCUACAUUGGUAGAUUAGGGUUUUGAUGUUUAUUUUGAGGUAAUGAGAUCCUUGGUAUAGUUUGGAUUGGGUGAAAUAUAGUAGAUGCUUGUUUAAGGUACUACUAAUACCUAGACACCGGGUAAUUAAGUCUAAUCCCAAAUAUAUAAGAUGAAUAAAUAAUUUGGAUAUAUGGACAAAUUUAGGUUUUGUCAGAUUUAGAGUCAUAGGAAAAGUCUUAUCAAUCUAUAAAAGUCAAUUAUGUCGAUAUCAGAGGAGGGUAUCCGAAUAUGACACGAUGUUCUUUUCUUCUCUAGUUUUUAUUAGCCAAAAUUUCUAUGGAAAUAAAGAAAUUUAUAGUAAAACAAAAAGUAUGAAUCAAGAAAAUGGUGUCAUCCCCAAUGACCAUGAAAAUAAGUUUAAAGUGAUUAUAUUAUUUUCAUAUAUCUACCCAAUUUCAUUUAUUUUAUUUUUUAUUUAAACAAUGAAAAUCUUUCAAAUAUAUAAAAUAUGUAAGUUUUUAAUUUUUUUUGGCAAGCCCAACCCACAUUGCCACCACCUUAAUCAUUGUUUUCUAGGGGGAAAAGCCCGUCUAAACAAGCCCAUAUCACCACAGUUUGGGCUCUACCUUUUGACCCCAUCUCGGAUGAGUAAUGCAUUUAAAGGCCUCCCUAUUCGUCGUCCGAUGUGGGAUUGGUGAUAUUAGUUUAAAGAAAAACAAUGAAAGAAAAUCCCACCAAGUUUAAGAGAUAAUAUGGGCACCACUCGCCCACACACUUUUUAAUGCUAAGCUUAGCAAACACAAAAAAAAUAUCAUUUUCUAAAAAAUUUUAUAAUAUUAAAUAAAAACAAUGUAAUAUUUUUAAAAAUCAAGUAAUUAAAUUUUCUCUAUUUUUAAUAUAUUCAAAUUUAAAUAUUAUACAUAUUUUAUUUAAAUAUAAUAUCACAUAUUCGAUGACUAAUUUAACUAGUUAGUUAUGAAUCAAUAAUUUUUUUGAUUUAAUAUUCCGAAUUUUAUUUUAUUUUUUUCUCCUACUAUACUCAUACAAUAAACACACGAUCAAUUAAAUAAUUUUUUAUACUUUGAUAUCAUUUAUUUAAACUUUGAUUUGAAAAUCAAUAAAUAAAUAAUAAUAAACCUAGAAUCUAGAACCUUCCAAAUGGAAGACAAAGUGGAGCAUGUUGUGGCAUUAUGCUCAAUUUUGAGAAGAAAUUCUGUAGAAGGCAGUUAGAUGCCUAAAUUCAACUUAAAGCAUCUUUUUAUUAAUUAUUAUCAUCCCCUCAACCCCCUCUCCACUCACUUUUACGAUUCGCCACCUCCACUCAUUUCGGUCUCCCGAUUUUUUACUUUCUGUUCAUUUUCUUACGUAAUAUUAAAAUUAUUCUUACACAUAAUAUAAAUUAUUUUCUUUAAAAAAAAAAUACAAUUUCCAGCGUAAAAAUAAAAGCCUUAAAGAAGUCUGUAUUACAAACCCGGCCCAAAAAGGGCAGUUUUCCGGACAAAUUAUUUGUCCAACACCAUUAUUGUUCAUAGUAUUAUUCGAGGAAGGAGAUGAUCCAAAAUCAAAAGUCAUCACCAUCGUAAUCUUCCAAGUCAUCACCAUCGAUCCUAUCUUCCACGUCAUCAGCAAUGUGAUCCUCCAAAGCAUCCACGCCCUCCGAUAUUGCCAGCCCACCCAAGACCCCUGCGACUGCGCCCACUGCCAGUCCCGUCCCCAUCCCCAUCCCUGACUUCUUCUGCGGCUGCUCCACCACCGUCUGUCCGUAUGGCCCCUGCGCGUAUGGCCCUUGUCCGUACGCCGGAUCUCCGUAUCUUGGCUGAGGCUGCCCAUAUGCCGGCUGUCUGUAGGGGUCUUGGCCGUAGGGUGGUGCAUUGGAGUAGUAAGGAUCAGGUGGGGGUGCGCCGUAUGGAGUGGCGUAAGCCGGGGAAGCCGCGUAGCCUGCGCCUCUGGUUCCCGCUGGCGGGGGCACGCCGUAAGGGGGUGAGUAGGCAGACCCAGGCGCACGGUAGCGCGGAUCUCUCACAGAGACCUUGACUUCCACCUUGCCAUGAGGGCGGCCAGAGGGGCGGCGGAGCUCGAGAGUGCGGAUGGCCUGGGCGCCGAAGCCGACGUCAUCGACGACGUCGCGGAGGAAGAGGCGAGCGGAGCCGACGACCGGCUUGGUGUCGUCUUCGUCAUCGGCUUUGAGAUGGACAACGUCGAGGUAGAGUGUGGAGUCUUCGAUCCGGGAGGGCACUGGAAUGAGUAGAGUCUCGUUCCAGCAAGGAAAGGUGUCGCCGUCGUUGUCGACUUUGGUGGAGAGCUUGGCCGCAGGAUCCACCCAAACCACGACGUAUGGCUUCAGAGAGCCGUGACGCCAGUUGACGUUCUUCAGAUCUUUGGCGGAGGAGAUAAUCAGCUCUAUCUCGUAGCGACCAGCCAUGGAAGGGGCAAUAAGGGAAAAAUAAUGGAGAAAAUGGUCGGACUGUCGAAUGGUUGCUAGUCGUGGGUCAAGUAUUUAUAGGCUUUAAUGUCCGCUUGUCCUUCGAAAAUCUUGUCCCUUUUACCGUUAUACCCUCCUACCCAUGUUUGAAAAAAAAAAAAAAAACAAAUAAGAAACAACUUCUCUGUAAGUCAAAAGACAACAUUUUUCUAAUUUUAAAAUUAAACUAUUUUUGAACGUUCGGUGAGAGGGUAUUUUGGUAAAAAAAUAUGACAGAGGAGCUCAACUGGGGAAGGGCAUAAUAGGGAAAAGACUAACUAGGGAAAGGGUUUGGGCCCCACGGAUUGCUUUCUCACUAAGCAUCGAGAUUGUCCUGAUGCUCUGUCUUUAUGCGCACUCGAUGGUUGCGGAAUUCUAUUGGUGUAACCGGAUAAUGCCGGUGUCAGAUGUCAAUUGAGAGGAGAUCGGCGUUGUCCACACGAGGAAUAUUCUCGCAUGACAGAGAAAGGUCUCGUAACGAGAUUGGUCCUACGCGGAAUAGACACGGCGUCACUUGGGCCGGACCUUGUCAAUUUUGUAUCUUUUAGGCCCAAAAAGUGGGCCACCAAGGCAGCCCAUGGGCUUGUUGCAAGCCCACUAUUGCCAUCUUUCAUCUACUUCACCAGGAAAAGUUCUUGAUUUCUCUUCCAAGGUGGAACCGUUGAACGUCCAUGAUUAUUUGUCAUGAUUAUAAAGCAAUAAAAAUUUUAAUUUAUUUACUUAUGAUGUUUUUAUUCAAUUUAUAUGAUCAUAAUGUUAUUAAGUCACUUCUUUUGUUAUAUGUUUCUUAAAAUCAUUUGAAAAUUCAAUUUCUAAAGUCUUAAAAAUAAAAUCACUAGUCUAUGGUCCAUGACUACUAAGUUUUUGCAUUUUGUAUAAAAAUUAUUGUCAAUUUUCUAUUUUAAAAACAAAAAGGCAUAAUCAAUUAGAUGAUAUCAUGUAUGUGCCUUCGAAUUUUAUUCAUUUAUACUUGAAUUUGGUUCGUUCUAUAUUCUUGAAUUUAGAAGUCCCAAAAGAUUCUUCCAAUAUAUCAUUUUCGGUCCAAUGGAAGAAUUUUAUUUUUUAUUUGUUCACUUUUAAAAAAUCGCAUUCCAUUCUUACUUGCAAUAGAAACCCAAAAGAUUCUUCCAAUAUAUCAUUUCUGGGUCUAAUGGAAGAAUUUUAUUUUUUAUUUGUUCACUUUUAAAAAAUCGUAUUUCAUUCUUACUUGCCAUAGAAAAUAUGGGAAAUUGGUUAUGGCCUCAACACGCUAUAUCUCCCCUAAAAAUUUAGUUAUUGUUUGGAUAUAUUUCUUGUAUUUUAUAUGUAGAAAUACAUUUUAUAUAAAAAGUAUGAACUUACCUUAUAUCCUUAAAAAAUAUUUUACAAUUAAACUUUGAAAACUAAGAAAGAUCAAAGGGAAACUAUUUUCUCAUGUUAAAAUAAAAAUAAAAUAACUCCGUUAAUUUGAAGAUGGUUCAUGAUCCUUGACAAUGACACCAUUUUCUUGAUUGAUACUUUUGGUUUUAAUAGAAAUUUCUUUAUUUUCAUAGAAAUUUUGGUCAAUAACAACUAAAAAGAAGAUAAGAAUAGUGUGUAAUAUUCAAAUAUCUUCCUUUGACAUCGGCAUAAUUGACUUUUUAUUCAAUUUAUAUGAUUAUAAUGUUAUUAAGUCACUUCUUUUGUUAUAUGUUUCUUAAAAUUAUUUGAAAAUUCAAUUUCUAAAGUCUUAAAAAUAAAAUCACUAGUCUAUGGUCUAUGACUACUAAGUUUUUGCAUUUCGUAUAAAAAUUAUUAUCAAUUUUCUAUUUUAAAAACAAAAAGACACCAUCAAUCAAAUGAUGUCAUGUAUGCGCCUUCGAAUUUUAAUCAUUUAUACUUGAAUUUGAUUUGUUUUAUAUUCUUGAAGUUGGAAGACCCAAAAGAUUCUUCCAAUAUAUCAUUUCCGGGUCUAAUGGUAGAAUUUUAUUUUUUAUUUGUUCAUUUUUAAAAAAUCAUAUUCCAUUCUUACUUGCCAUAGAAAAUAUGGGAAAUUGGUUACCGCCUCAACACGCUACAUCUCCCCUAAAAAUUUAGUUAUUGUUUGGAUAUAUUUCUUGUAUUUUACACGUAGAAAUAACUUUUAUAAUAACUUUGAUAUAAAAAGUAUGAAUAUACCGUAUAUCCUUAAAAAAUAUUUUGUAAUUAAACUUUGAAAACUAAGAAAGAUCAAAGGAAAACUAAUUUCUCAUGUUAAAAUAAAAACAAAAUAACUCUGUUAAUUUGAAGAUAUUUCAUGAUUCUUGACGAUGACACCAUUUUCUUGAUUGAUACUUUUGGUUUUAAUAGAAAUUUCUUUAUUUUCAUAGAAAUUUUGGUCAAUAACAACUAAAGAGAAUAUAAGAAUAGUGUGUAAUAUUCAAAUAUCUUCCUCUAACAUCGGCAUAAUUGACUUUUUAUAGAUUGACUAAAGUUAGCUUUAAAUCCGAUGAAACCUAAAUGUGUCCAUACAUCCAAAUUAUUUAUUCAUCUUAUAAAUUUAGGUUUAGACUUAAUUAGAAUAGAUCAAAUCAAGUUAACUAAUGAUUAAGUGGUGUCUAGAUAUUGGUAGUAUAUUCACAAACAUCUAUUUUAUUUCACCUAAUCCAGACUACACCAAGGAUCUCAUUAAUUAUCUCAAAAUAAACAUCAAAACCCUAAUCUUCCAAUCUAGUCUUAUUGUACUCAUUGCUUCUUCUUGUCCCAAUCCUCCACCAUCAUGCUACACCACCAUAAGAAAGGUUCAUAGCCUCUAAUGGCUAAGUUUUAACACAAUUUUCAUAAGAGAGUAAGAAAUCGACGAUAUUAUUGAAAAGAAAGCAAAAAGUCUCCAAUAUAUGACCGUGAAAAUCCAAAUGUAAAACUACCUUCUCCUUUUAAUUUAAUGAUGAAAUAUAUAUAUAAUCUAACCCUAAAAAGACAUGUGACCUCAAGGAUGAAAAUAUUGGUUUUUAUAGAUAUAUCGACAACUCAAUUUUAUAGAGAUAUAAGAAAAUAUCGAUGAAUAUUUUGACUCAAAAUAUCAAUAGGACAAAAAUCGAUGAAAACUAGUAAACAUGUUGAAAAAAACUCUAAAAAUGAUAUAAUAAACAAUAAUAAAUAUUUUAAAGUUUUUUUAUCAAAGAAAAUGAUAUUAUACAAUAUAAUUUAUCAUAUUUGAUAAUAAUAUCGUAUAUGUCGAUAACAAAUAUGAAUUUUAUAAGUGUACAUUUAUCAUUAAAUUACAUCAAAUAUUAUUCAAUAAUAAUAUUAUAAUAUUUUAUUAUAAUAUGUUUAAUUUUAAAUAUUUAAUAUUAAAUUUAUGAUUCAUUUAAUUCAAUUGUAUUAAAUAAUAUAAAAUAAAUGAUGAUAUAUAUAUAUAUAUAUAUAUAUAUAUAUAUAUAUAUAUAUAUAUAAUUUUUUAAUAUUUAAUUAAUAUAUUAAUGAUAAUUUUUAUAUUUUUGGUAAUUAAUCAAAUGAAAAAUUUUCAUUUAAUUAUAAUUAAUUUGUUCUUUAAAAUAUUCCUUUAAUGUUUUGUUUAUAUGAUAACUUUAUAUAUAUAUAUAUAUAUACUUGGUGCACUAUGUUUAAAAAAGACAUAUAUAUCAUAUGAUUCAAAAAGGUUAAUAGACGAAGCUAUCUCUUUCUCUAAAUUUAUAGAAAUCCUUUCCAAUCAAUCUGAAUUUGAGAUUAGUUUUAUUUUUUUCCCAAUUUAAUUUAAUGAUUUUCUUGGUGUUAAUUCCAGGCAAAUGCUGUGAGGGCAUAUCGUCCUCAGUGGACGUGCAGGAAAAAGGACAUAUACCCACAGUUCUAUGAGGACGCCAAGGUGUACUGCAAUGGUGAACUGGUGAUGACCACUGGUGGGACUCAGAAGGAGUAUGUGGUCGAUGUCUGGUCUGGAAACCACCCCUUCUACCUCGGGAACCGCUCCGCUCUUCUAGUGGACGCUGAUCAAGUCGAGAAGUUCCGGAAGAAGUUUGGGGAAAUAUCACAGAUUAUGGAAAUUCCUGUCCUCAAAUAUGGAGAAAUCGUGCUACCACCUAAACGCAAAUCUGGUUCUGGUAAAGGGGGAAAGAAGAAGUAGUUGCCCAAUUUCACGGUAAAAAGAAAUAGCCUCUGUUUGGUUGCAAGGAAAAAAAUUGGAAGCAAGUUAUGAAUCUUAUCUGUUUAUUUUCUUACUUUUCUCAGCUUCCAAAUAGGGCAAUUAGGGUUUUGGUUUUCUGUUUAUUGGACAGUGUAAUUUGAUUACUUGUUAUAAAUUUUUUAAAGUAAUCCCUAUUUCGUGUUCAGUGGUAUGUCUUAAUUUUUUUUCUUUUUGAUUAUUAUUAAUUUUAAUUGUAUAUUUUAUUAAAUACUUUAAAAUGUCCUAUAGUCCAAAAGAAUAGUUUUGUCUAGAACCAUGUUCACUGAUUGUGAUGCACUAAGUAAAUAUCAGUCAGCUUACUCUGGGAAACCCCAUUGAGAUUCUGCAGUUCCCAGAACAACAAUAAUAUAAGUAAAUAUCGUUCUAUAUUCUUGAACUUAGAAGACCCAAAAGAUUCUUCCAAUAUAUCAUUUCCGGGUCCAGUGGAAGAAUUUUAUUUUUUAUUUGUUCACUUUAAAAAAAUCGCAUUCCAUUCUUGCAAUAGAAACCCAAAAGAUUCUUCCAAUAUAUCAUUUCCGGGUCCAAUGGAAGAAUUUUAUUUUUUAUUUGUUCACUUUUAAAAAAUCGUAUUCCAUUCUUACUUGCCAUAAAAAAUAUGGGAAAUUGGUUAUGGCCUCAACACGCUAUAUCUCCUCUAAAAAUUUAGUUAUUGUUUGGAUAUAUUUCUUGUAUUUUAUAUGUAGAAAUACAUUUUAUAUAAAAAAUAUGAACUUACCUUAUAUCCUUAAAAAAUAUUUUACAAUUAAACUUUGAAAACUAAGAAAGAUCAAAGGGAAACUAUUUUCUCAUGUUAAAAUAAAAAUAAAAUAACUCUGUUAAUUUGAAGAUGGUUCAUGAUCCUUGACAAUGACACCAUUUUCUUGAUUGAUACUUGUAGACCCCCUUGUUGGCAGGGAGAGGGAGGGGGAAAAUAUUAUUUUUUUUAGGAGAGUGGGUGAGAUUGGAAGUGAUGGAGAGGACGGGAAGUAGCGGGAGAUUUGAGGGGGAAGAAAUCUGGAAAAAGAGAAAAGGAAAGGGGGGAAGAUUUUUUUUGAGGGUUUUUGAGGCUGGCGAUUAAGGAUUGGAGGUUUUGGAAAAGAAGAGAUUUUUUCAGAGGAAGAGAGUAGAGGUCCGGAUUUUUAGAAAGAAAAAAACCAAAGCUGAAAGGGGAGAGGGUGAUAUCUGGAGAGGAGAAAAACAAAGAAAAUGGAGAUAGAGACAGUCUGAAGGAGACGGAAAAAAAGCUGUGCUUGGGAGGAGCCUUUCAGGUAAGAUUUUUUUUGUAAACUUCACAUCUCUUUUUCUCUCUUAGGUACAGUCUUCGAUCUUCAUGCUCACUGUGGGGAUGAGGAAUUCGUUGUUUUUUUGUAGAGAGAGAAAAGAAUUGGGCGGCUGGGGGAUUAUAAGACAGUGGGAUGCUUUUUAAAAGUUUUUAAUUCAAAUUGUUUUUUUCUAGCAAGGCAUUUGGGUUCGUGCCUAUUUUUUUACUUUGAGUAAAGCUCUCAAAGCCAUUUAUAUAUAUUUUUUUAUUAUUCCUUUCUUGCAUGGAAAUCAUAACAUGGCAGAAGACUUUUUGGUGGGCUUGAAUAUUUAUGUCCAUUUUUCUUUCUUUUGCUUUUUGGCGAACACGUUUUCACAAAUUGAAUUCUCAAAACAACUUUCAAAAUUUCAGUUUUUUUAAUCACUUCAAUCUUCAAAUUAAUUUUUCAAAAAUUCUAAUAUCCAAAUUUAAUUUCUAAAAUGUCAUCUUAAAAUAAAUCUUUCAAACAAAUUCUGAUUUCCAAAUUCAAUUCCCAAUUUCUGAAAUUCUAAUUUUUCGACUUUCAAAUUUAAUUUUCAAUUUCCAAAAUUUUAAUAUUCACAUUCAUUUAUUUAAUCAUUACUAUUUUUUGUUAUGAUUAUUAUUAUUCUAUUUACUUAUUUAUCUUAAAAUUCCAUUCUUAAACAUUUUUUCUCAAAAUUUCAAUUUUUGAACUUAAUUUUUAAUUCCCAAAAUUCCAAUUCUUAAAUUUAAUUCCCAAAAUUCCAAUUUUCAAAUUUAAUUCCCAAAACUCCAAUUUUCAAAUAAAUUCCAAAAAUCCAAUUUUCACGUGAACAAUUUUAAUUCUAUUCCGGUUCUCAAUUUUUCUUGGUUUUACAUAAGCAUGAAUGUCAUUUUCAUAAUUUCAGAACAAUGGAAUUUGUGAGAUUAAUUCGUGCAAGAUCAAUCGGGCUUUGGUGGGGGCCCCACAUACGUGAUUUUAUGAUUGAUUGAUUUGUUUGUCACGCACAAUUUAUUUAUCCUGCUCUCCGACAUGCAUGCUAUUAUUUCUUAAUUAUGCACUAACCUCUCUCUUGAUAGCGCAUGGUGGCUCGUCGCCCAGGUACGCACUUACUUUCACUCUGGUAAUUGUCCAAGCAUAUUUUGAUUCUCACGUGUGCAUGAUUUAUUCUGGGUACUCAUUGAUCUACUCGUCCACUGCCCUGAUUGUUUCAUUUUAUUAGUAGAGACCCGUUUUUAGGGACUUAAAAGGGUGCUACGGUUUUUACCGUACCUUCCUGAUAAGUAACCUGACCCCCGAACCCGAUCCGGUUUUUUGUAGAUCACCUUUUCCAAAUAAGGAGUCACACUUAGGGUUUUUCUUUCUUAUUUUGUUUACCCUUUUAAAAAUAAAACAAAAAUAAGUGGCGACUCCAAGUCAUUUUUCCUAAUCAAUAAAAUCAAUUUUUCAAAUAAAAGUCGAGCUCGCCAUCGAAUGGGAAACGCAUUGAGCCGAAAUGCGGGGUCCACAAUACUUUUGGUUUUAAUAGAAAUAAAAUUAUAACUCUGUUAUAAGUGUACAUUUAUUAUUAAAUUACAUCAAAUAUUAUUCAACAAUAAUAUUAUGAUAUUUGAUUAUAAUAUGUUUAAUUUUAAAUAUUUAAUAUUAAAUUUAUGAUUCAUUUAAUUCAAUUGUAUUAAAUAAUAUAAAAUAAAUGAUGAUAUAUAUAUAUAUAAUUUUUUAAUAUUUAAUUAAUAUAUUAAUGAUAAUUUUUAUAUUUUUGGUAAUCAAUCAAAUGAAAAAUUUUCAUUUAAUUAUAAUUAAUUUGUUCUUUAAAAUAUUCCUUUAAUGUUUUGUUUAUAUGAUAACUUUAUAUAUAUAUAUAUACUUGGUGCACUAUGUUUAAAAAAGGGUGAGCUUGGCCCAAUGGCUGGAUAAGGCAUCUUUAUGCGUAAUAUUCAUACCUUUACUUAAUCUCAUAUGUCAUAAUUGAGUCAAAUUCUCACAUUUUCUACUUCUUUUUUUUUUUGGGUCUUUUUAUUAAAAAAUAGUGCAUUAGUUCUCAAGUAUUUAUAGCACAAUCAUUAGUAUCUUUACAAAUAUAUAUUUAAUACAACUCAAUUAUUAAUGCAAAAGAGUUGAGAUUAAACCUAGUGGACCUUGAUUAAGUCAAAUAAGAGUACAUAAUUGCCAUAUUUGAAUCCUUAAGAGGUCGAAUCAAAAGAUUAUACAUUAUUUAAUUUAAUAAUAAUAAUAACUAUAAAAAAAUAUUUUAAGAAUAAAAAAACCAAUAUUGAUAAUUAUUAAAAAAGUAAAUUUUGGUCAAGUUAUAAGUUCAAUGCAUAUGUGUCGUGCUAGAGUUUUAUGACAAACAUAACUCGAGGCACCGACCAUGCCAUAUUUAUUUCUAUAUUAAUACAUUAUUAUCAAUGAAUUAAAAUUUAGGUGUGUUCUUAUUGUCAAUGAUUCUUACAAUAAAGCCGACAAGUCUCAUAUACAAAAAUAAGAGGCGUCUUCUAUGGUUGGGUUGUAUGGGGUAUGGGAGAAAAAGGCAAACCAAUGAGAAAAUUUGAAUAUCUUAUAGUUCUAGUUUCCCAAUGAAAAUUGGCGACCUAACCUUCCUCCCUUCCUCCGUCGAGUCCAGCGACCUCUUCUCUUCCUCCGCCACAAAGUCCUGCCUGAUUUGGCAGAUGGGCAUCGAUAAUCGGUUGUGCGCUGGAAAUCAGCACCAUGGAUCAGCAAAGCUUGGCAGACUGUAAACUCAAAAAUCCUUUACAUAUAUAGCUGAGGCAUGUUUGAUCAACUGGCCCAAGGGUGUCUUAUUUCUCAGGUUCCCUUUACCAAUACAGGUCAAAAUCAAGAAGGAUUAGCCCACCUUGACAUUAUAAUGUUGCAUGGAAAAAGUUUCCCGAGAAACCCAAGAAACUUUGAAAGUUCUAGAAUAACGGGUUGAAGAAUCUUAUAAUUCACCAUAUUUUCUUUUUCUUUUUUGGUAUUUUUAAUUAUAUAAAAAAAGAAUAAUAAAUAUCAUAAAAAUAAAUAUUAAUUAUUAAAUUAAGAAAAUCAAAUAUUAUUAAUAUUUUAUUUUUAUUAAGGAAACAAAUAUUAUUUUUUUAUUUAUGAUUUAUGAAAAUAUUGAUUCUACCAUCAUCUACACUAAAGUGCUUAACCCACGACAAUCUCCUCAUUGGCGUGCUCAAAGUUCCUGCAAAUGUUUCUUUACCGAAGAAAUGUGAAGGAAAAUAAAAUAAAAUAAAAUAAAAUCACAUAAAAAAUAUCAUGAAAUCCAUAAUAUACUAUAUUUUAUAAAUAUAAAAAUAAAAUAUGGUUCUUAUAUAUUUCCAAGUCUAUUUCAAUCAAAGUGUUAUUUUAAACAAAAGUUCAAAGGACUAGCAUUGAAAGACAAAAUAUGAAAAACAACCAUCGCUUCUAUUAUGCCUACUUUUAAUAGAAAAAAUGUAAAUGUUUAUGACUUAUUAGGCUCCAAGCCAAUAAUUCAUUAGUCAAGAUCUCAUUUCGAUACAUCAUUUAAGUGUAAUCUCUUACUAAAUAAUUUGUGAGGGUCAUUUAAUUCAACUUUUGUUGAAGCAAGAUAGAAGCCGAUAUUGAAUAUGCUAUGAGACAUAAGGGAUAAGAACAACGAAUGCAAGGAGGACUUGUAAGAAUAAGUGGGAGAUGUUGUUGUGCCCUAAUAUUUAUAAGAUUUUGGAGAAUGAUAAGAUUAAGGCAAAUAGUUGAAUACCUAUUUGGGUUUGUGAUUUAAAGUUUGAAAUCAAUUGCAUAUGUAGUGAUAGAUAUGUUAUUGAUAUUGUCAAUCAAACAUGCAAAUGCAUAAAUGAGACUUAACCGGUAUCCCUUGUUCAUAUGCAAUUUUAACUAUAUUUGUAGAAGAGAAAUAAUAAGUUUUAAGUUAUCUUUAAAAAUUACUAGACUCGUUAAUGAAUCAAACACAUUAACUCUUACUUAAUGUUUAUUUGUUUACUUAAAAAAAUUGUAAAAGUAUGAUAUAUAUAUAUAUAAAAUAAAUUAACCUAGCCAUUUAAAAUAAAUUUUGAUUUAAGACUUUUUCGUGUUUUUGAGUUUUAUGACUUUUUAGUUUAAUUAAAUCAAUUUUUGAGUUUAAAUAUUUUUUAAAAAAUAAUAAAUUUAUUUGUUUAAUAAAAAAUAUUAAAGAAGUUAAAGGAAAUUCAGAAAAGCAAAUCAUAUUUGAAAAUUUUCAAUACUUGUACAGUGCGGAGAGAAAGUGAGAGAACAGUAUAUUCUGUUCAAUUUUAUGAAAAAUAAAACACCAGUCCAACACCUAAACCUCCAUUAGAAACUCCUUAUCCUUCUCCAACCUUUCCAUUGUACCAGCCUCCAACGUUAUCUCAACGUCAAUGCUUCCUCCCCCGGUCUUCCCCUGAUACAAAUACACCAUUCCGUCAAAUUUGUUGUUCGAUCCACUUCUCACCCUCUCCGGCUUCCCAAACCCAAAGUCCACGUCGUACACCUUGAACCUCGGCGAGCUUCCCACCGUAACGCAGUUCACUCCGGCGUCUUUGAACUGGAAUAUUAUUGGGUUGCUCUCCCACUUAUCGUUGCGUUCGUUGAUGGCUUUCGCGUCGUUCGUUACGAUCGCUUUUUGAAUCAUUGCCGCCGCGAACUCCGGCGGGUUUGCGUAGAGGAGUCCGGCUGCGGUGACGGUGAAGAUGGCUUGAAUCAGGUUGCCGAAGUAGGACUCCGGCAUGGGAGGGUCGACCCUCUUGCGGCAGUUGGCGAAGACGGUGUAGACGGUGACGUCCUCGGGUUUGAGUUGGCGAGCGCGUGUCACCGCGAGCCACACGUGCGUGGAGAGCGAUUGGAAGGAGGAGAAGGGUCUGGAGCCGUCAGAUGGGGUUUUGUUGAGCGUUGACUUGACCCGGUUGAUUUGAGAUUCCGAGAAUCGGAAGAUGCGCUCGCGGAGAAGCGGCGGCGGCUCCGACGUGCCGCUUGGAUUGGCGGCUGUGGGGUCGAGGGGGAGGUCGAACUUCACGCGCGUUUUGCGCGCUUUGGUGCGGUCGAGGAACGGUGGGACGGAGAUGGAGUCGGCUCCACUGCAGAUUUCGGCCCACGAGCUCAUGAAGUGCCACGUGGAGGUACCGUCGAGGACAGCGUGGUUGAACGCGCAUCCCAUUGCGAGGCCAUCUCUUAGCUUGGUGAACUGCGGAUCAUGACAGAAAAACAGUUGAAGCAGUUGAAUAACCUGGGACAACAAACUUUGUUCUAGUCCAUCUUUUCAACUAUUGGGAAAUCAUUCCUUUUGUACCAAAGUCAUAUGACCACUUUUAAUAGAAAAUAAAUAAAUAAAUAAAUUGUUACCUGUAGGACGAGGAGGGGUUUAUGAAGACCCUCAAAGUUCAAGACUUGGGUGUGUGGCAGCAUAUCUUUCAUCAUGCUUGUGCUCUCCACAUCCAUUAGAUCAGAGACACUGACAUGAUCAGCACUUGCUUCCAACACUUCUACACCCUCCAUUUCAUCAUCAUACACGACCUUAAAGACCCCAUCUUCAUCCUUCUCUAGCUUCCCAGCCAACUGAUAAAACUCUUCCAAAACUACCCCUAACCCAUCCUUCAAUUUACCCACCAUGUCCUCAAAGUCACACCCCUUGUAGAAUAACAGUUUUUGGUUAUAGUAAAAGGCCAAAUAUGGGAGAUCAAAUGUGACCAAUUGACACUCUCUUCUUCCUAGCUUCUUAGUGGGCAUGAUGUGGGAUUUUCCAUGGACAGCCACCUUCACAACCUCAGCUUCCUCCUUCUUCACAACUUGAUCUACGCAUGGAGUGGCGUAGGCGGACUCAGGCGCACGGUAGCGCGGAUCUCUCACGGAGACCUUAACUUCCACCUUUCCCUGAGGGUGGCCGGAGGGGCGGUGGAGCUCGAGAGUGCGGAUGGCCUGGGCUCCGAAGCCGACUUCGUCGACCACGUGGGGGAGGAAGAGGCGAGCGGAGCCGACGACCGGCUUGGUGUCGUCUUCGUCAUCGGCUUUGAAAUGGACGACGUCGAGGUAGAGUGUGGAGUCUUCGAUCCGGGAGGGGACCGGAAUGAGUAGAGUCUCGUUCCAGCCAGGAGAGGUGUCGCCUUCGUUGUCGACUUUGGUGGAGAGCUUGGCCGCAGGAUCCACCCAAACUACGACGUAUGGCUUCAGAGAGCCGUGACGCCUGUUCACAUUCUUCAGGUCUUUGGCGGAGGAGAUAAUCAGCUCUAGCUCGUAGCGACUAGCCAUGGAAGGGACAACAAGGGAAAAAUAGAGGAGAAAAUGGUCGGACUGUCGAAUGGUUGCUUGUCGUGGGUCAAGUAUUUAUAGCCUUUUUGUUCUUCGAAAAACUUGCCCCUUUUACCGUUAUACCCUCCUACGCAUGAAAAAAAAAAAACAAAUUGGAAACAACUUCUUAUGUAAGUCGAAAACAACAUUUUUAUUAUUUUAACAUUAAACUCUUUUUGAAAGUCUAGUGAGACGGUAUUUUGGUAAAAAGAUAUGGCGAGGAGCCCAACUGGGGAAAGGCACGCAAUCGAGCGGAGUUCUAUCGAAUGGCCUUUGACCCAAACAAAAAGUCAACUUUAGGCCUGCGUUGAAACUAUCGUGCAAACUAGCCUUCUGCCUUUUUCUGAAAAAAAAAAACACACACAAAAUUAUUAAAACUUCCUUCUCUUCCACCCGCACGUCUAUGACCAUUGACCCAUUGCCGGCGACACCCCUUUCUCCCUUCCCUUCUUUCCUUCUUCCCUAUUUCUCUCUUUCUCUCUCCAUCCUAUCCACCAUAUCCAUUUUUCCCUUCCUCCAACUCCUGCUGAUACUCACUGCCGGCCAGCGACGUCAUGCCGUCGGUGCCGCUCAUGGCUCGACCUUGCUGUCGAUGUCCAAGAAAUGAAGCUUAGCGCAUAUUUGGGACAUGGUUUUUUAGAACAAUUUUCUAUUAUUCAAAAUAAAUAAAAAAACAGAGAAAAUAUGUUUCUAGAUGUUUCUUAGUUGUGGAAAGUGACAAGUAGUUGAAAAUAUUUUAUAUCUCCAUAGACAAGUAGAUCAUCCAUUUGGGCUGUUGGAGGUUUUGAUGGGCGGCUUUUGUCGAGCCAUGGUGCAGUGACUGUGAUAUGGUGGCUGGUUGGUGGUGUCAAAAUGAGUCAUGCUGCUGCAGGGGUUCACAGGGGCUUCGGGUUGAUGCGUAAGUGUCGUGGAGAAGGGUGGGUGGUGGGAGGAGGAGGUUGUAUUGAUAGCAAGGGUGUGUCGGGGACCUUAAGCAUGUUUGCCAAGAUAAAAAUUAUUGUCUUAUUUCUCAUUGUCCUGGGCCCUGAUUAGUGGGUUUGAAACUUUGAAUGGAAAGCCAUUGGCGGUAAAUAAUCACCACAAUGCGACAUUUAUCCGAAUACUGAAAAAAGAAAAUAUUAAAAUAUUUCAAUUUUAUACAUAGAACAAUUAACAAGCACGUCACAUUAAUUUCAUAAUAAUUGUAAAAUUAGUGUUCUAGUUAUUUGAAAUUGUUUUACAAAACAAGAAAUAAAGAAUAUUGAUUUAGAGUGUUUUUUGCGGUAAUUUUAAAAAACGUUUUUAAUCUUUUUAAUAUUUAAAUAAUAAUUUUUUUUAAGUAUUAAAAAGUUUUAAAAUACUUUAUAGAAUUACUAUUUAACAAACUCUAAACUUGUUUGACAAUGAUUUUAGGAAGUGUUUUUAAAAUUUUUUAAUACUUAAUUUUUUUAUCAUUCAAAUGUUAAAAAAGUUAAAAACAUUUUUUAAAAUAACUAUCAAACACAUUUAAAGUGCGUUUGAUAAUGAUUUUAGGAAGCGUUUCUAAUAUUUUUAACAUUUAAAAUUUGUUUAUCUCAUAAGUAUGAGAAAUGUUAGCAACACUUCUUAGUAUGAGAAAUGUUAGAAACGUACUCUUAGAGCCCAUUUAGUAGUAAUUAUAGGAAGCGUUUUUAAUAUUUCUAAUACUUGAAAAUUUGUAUUAUUCAAAUAUUAAAAAUGCUAAAUAUACUUUUUAGAAUCAUUCAUAAAUUCACUUUUAGAGUUGGUUUGGUAAUAACUUAAGGAAACGUUUUUAACAUUUUUAAUACUUGAAAUUUUUUAUUAUUCAAGUAUUAGAAAUAUUAUAUAUAUAUAUAUAUAUAUAUAUAUAUUAGAAUCACUACCAAAUGUACUUUUAGAGUGUGUUUGAUAGUGAUUCUUAUAAGCAUUUUUAGUCUUUUCUAAUACUUGAAAAAUAAAAAUCAACGUUUUAAAAACUGGAUUGGACCGACUGGUUCGACCAGUUUGACUGUCGAUCGGUUACCAGUUUGGUUUAGUUCACCCCUUUGAACCGGCCAGCCUUUGAACUAUUAUCGAAUCGUCGGAACCGACAAAUAGACCGAUCCAACCAGUUUUUAAUGAACCAAACGGUUCAAAUUAACUUUUUUCUUUUUGUUUAUUAGCUUCCAAAACGAUGUCUUCCCUUUCUUAUUUGUUCCUCCAAAACGUUCUCCCCACCCACUGUUGGACUCAGUUAGGUUAUAGAAAAAUUUUCAAACCUUCUCAUUUUCUUCCCAAUCACAAUAACAUAUCAGAACAUUUUCAAAAUAAAAAAUAAAAAUUAGAGAUUUCCCUUUCAAAAGCAAAUACCUAAAAUUCUGAAAAUUGGAACUUUUAGCCCAGAAGAUCAAAGAAAAUGAAGAAGAAAAAACCCAAUGCAUGACCUGUUUGAAAUAAGAGGAGAAACCACCAAACGAUGAGGACAUAAUUUAGGAUUUACUUAUCUGAUUUUCCUAAAAAUCAAGUAUUACGGGAGGGAGAAGCUUUGGUGUUAACGGUGGUGACUCAUCAAGUGGACUGAAUCUUACAAUGACGACGUCGGCAAUGCAACCCCCUCACAGUCAGAUUGCUCUCCCUCAAGUGUUGAGUCUUGUAUAAUUGCAAUUUGCAAUUGCAAGUGGUGUUGUCGUAGGUCUUCACAACAACGAGGGUGGGAGAUUGGGAGUAGUAAAAAAUGCAUUUUACUAAAAAUAUUAAAUAAAAUUUUUAUUUAUAAAUAAUUUUUUAUUUUAAAAUAAAUGUUAAAAUUUUAAAAUUAAAAUUAAAAUUAUGAAUUUAAUUUAAAUUUAUAAUAUGAAACUAAUUUUCUAAUUUUCAAAUAAAAUUUUAAUUUUUAAAUAAUAUAUAAAUUAUUAUUUUAAUUUUUAUAAUUAUUUAAAUUUUAAUAAUUUAUAAUUUAUAUAUUUAUAAUGUCACUGGUUCGAGACCGCCGAUCUAACCAAUGAACUGUGAAUCGAUAACUUUUUUGAUUCAAUGAUUGGUCAAGUUCUAAAAACAUUGAUAAAAAUUUUAAAGUAUUAAAAAAUAUUAUAAGCACUUUCUAAAAUCAUUACUAAACAGAUUCUUAAAGUGUGUUUAAAAGUAAUUUUAAAAAACGUUUUUAGUAUUUCUAAUAAUUGAAUAAUAAAAAUUUUCAAGUAUUAGAAAUAUUAAAAAUGCUUUUUAAAAUCAUUACCAAAUGAACUCUUGUUAUCCUCUCAAAGCAUCACAUAAACACAUGUAAGAACAACAUAUAUUAUCAUAAAUAUAAAUUUUCAAUGCAUAAUAUAAAUAUUUUAACAAAUAAAAAAAGAUUUAAAAACAAAUAUAAGUAUUAAAUGGUGAUUUUUGUUUAUGUAAAUAAAAUUAUUCCUUCAUAAUUAUUUGUAAAAAAAUUUAAAUCAUAUGAACAAAUCUUGGGAUUUAUCUCUCCAACAUUAAUUUUAUAUAAAAUUAAUUAUUUUUUAGUUAUCCCUAUAUUCUCUAAAUCUCAAAAUUAAGUACCCAAUUACAAGAAGACACGUAUUGAAAAAAUAUGGGCCGUGUUAAAAAUUUGCACCAGUGCUGUAACUCUAGUGGCGCACUUAAAAGGAAAAAGAACAUGCGUAUAAAACCAUAAACCCUAAAUCGUUCUAUAAAAGCUUCUAAGACCCCCAAGCUCACCACGCCUCCAUUUUGAUAAAACCCUAAACCCUAACUCCCCCACUUAGCAGAGAUGAGACCUCCAGCAGGAAGAGGUGAAAUUUCUUCUUUUUCUUUCCCUUUGCUUGUAUUCUCGAGUUUCAUUUUGUUCGUUGUGGAUGCUGUAGUUUUGGUAUGCUCAUUUGAGUUAGGGUUUGUCAUUUAGAGUCCCAACUCUUGAAAGGGUUGCAUUAGGGGUUUUUGUUUGUCUGUUGGGUUCGAUGCAGUUGGGUUUUUGAUUUUUGGCUCUUGGUUUUCAUUUGCCUUAUUUUGGCUUUCAAAUGUGAGAAAAUCUGAGGUUUGAGAUGCUGAUUAAUUUUGUUUUCUAUGUUUGAAGUUAAUGUUUUGAACUUACUUUAAUGUAUUGAUAUGCAGGCCGUGGAGGUGGCGGUUUCGGAGGUGGCGGUUUCAGAGGCAGAGGCGAUGGAGGAAGGGGCAGAGGCAGAGGAGGGUUUGGUGGAAGAGGUGGCAGUGACAUGAACAGCCGGGGUGGUGGUCGUGGCGACCGUGGUGGUCGUGGUGGUCGUGGCGGCGGGAGAGGCCGUGGUGGACGCGGAGGUGGCGGAAUGAAAGGUGGAAGCAGGGUUGUAGUUGAGCCCCAUAGGCAUGAGGGGGUGUUCAUUGCUAAGGGCAAAGAAGAUGCACUUGUUACUAAGAAUAUGGUCCCCGGAGAAGCCGUCUACAAUGAGAAAAGAAUCUCUGUUCAGGUAUUUAUUUUUAGUAUUUUGAGUUUUUUUUUUCAGUUUGUGUGUACUGAUGAAGACAUGUUUCGUUUUUAGCCAAAAAGCUUACAAAUUUCUAUGUAUAUUUUUUUUGGGUCUAAAACCCUUUAAAUGGUAUGCUUACCCUCUUGUUGUUUCAGUAGAAGCCAAGGGAAACAUGGGAUUCGGUUGUUUAAAUCUUGUUGCUUCCUAAUAAUCAAGUUAACUGAAGAAAUUAGAAUAAAAUUUUAGAUUUAUUGGGAAAUUUCAUUCUCAGUUCUCUCUGUAUCCAAAUGGGGGCUCCAAGAUUUUCUUCCUGUUUUUUUCUGCUAUUAAUAAUGAUGUACUAACAUUCAGACGUAGGGAUUUGCCAAUUAGUCUAUCCUUCACCUCCGAAGUAAGUAGUUGAAUGUUAACUUCUUUGGUCCAUCCCAAUAAUGGAGGAUGUGAUUUUGGCAUGUUCUUCAACUCUUGUAAAUGGGUAACUCAUUAUGUGUUUUAGGAUUUUCUAAUCAUAAGGUUUAAGCACUCUGUGAAAUGUGAUGGUUAUUGAUCUACUUGUUAUUUUAAUUUUUCAGAAUGAAGAUGGAAGCAAAAUUGAAUACAGGGUUUGGAACCCCUUCCGUUCAAAGUUGGCUGCUGCCAUUCUUGGUGGUGUUGAUGAGAUCUGGAUUGUGAGCUUUCUUCUGGAAGCCUCCUGGUUUUUAGAUGCAAUUUUUUACUUCUGAUUUUACUUUAGGUUUCAGUACAUGUUUUCUGAUUUGUCUUUAUUUAUGUGUAAUAAAGAAACCUGGUGCUCGAGUUCUCUACCUUGGUGCUGCCUCAGGGACCACUGUUUCCCAUGUCUCGGAUGUUGUUGGCCCUGUAAGUACUCAUGAUGUAUUAAGGAAUAUAGUUCCUGUUGCAAUAUUAAAAAUGGAACUGUUGCUGAUAAAUAGCCAACCUUUCUGCAGACUGGAGUGGUUUAUGCAGUGGAAUUUUCUCACAGAAGUGGUAGGGACUUGGUUAACAUGGCAAAGAAGCGGACAAAUGUUAUUCCCAUCAUUGAAGAUGCUAGACAUCCAGCAAAGUACAGAAUGCUGGUUGGCAUGGUUGAUGUGAUAUUUUCCGAUGUUGCACAGCCUGAUCAGGUUAACCUCUUUUAUUUUUCUUUUGUUAAUUGGUCCCUGGAUAAGGGGUUUUUUCUUUGUGUGCAUGCUUUGUUUCAUAUUCAUCAAAAUUUUCUUGUUGGCUUUGGUCUUUUCGUUUAAGCUACUGAUGCUGCUACUCCCGCUCAUUUAGCAAUCAUGUUCUUUUCUAUCUUUGUGUUUCUUUUCCAUUUCAUUCUGAAGUUUCUAAUCUACUGUGAUUAGUUUAGUUGCACAUUUUUAUGAUCGGAUUGUAUGUGAAAAUGUGAGGUAGCUUUUAUAUAUAGUUUGCGUUAGCACUAUUUCAUAUUUCAGGCUGUGUUUUUAUAUAUAGUUUUUGUUGUUCUGCUCAGAUCUUGACAGCAAUUCCUCAGAUGAAGUCUAUAAAGUUUUGACACAUCCAAUCAUAAUGUUUUUUUAUAUGUUUUCCUUCUGCAACAUUAAAUGUUUUUCAUAUGUUUUUCACAUUCAUAUUUUCUUGAUUUGACUUCUAUGAUCAUGCAAAUGACGAGUUACUCGGAUUCCCCUUCAAGACAUUAUGGGUGAUGCAAACUCGAGUUUCUGAUGCAUGCCAAGUUCUUUUUCCUUUUUACUUAACUUUGAAGUUUAAUUUGACAUUUUUUUGGCUCUUUUUUCUCCCUUAAUUUCUUGUCUCCUUUUUUUGCUAGUUUCAUGGAUUGAAUCACUUUUAUUUCCUUCCAUGUCAAACAUGUUGGUAGGGUUUUAUGUCUUAUUAUUUAAUAUAAUUUGCAACUCUUUCUGAACAUGUUUUUUACUUCCCUUUCACUUUUUAUAGUAAGGUUGGGGCUCAAUCUAUUCAGUAACAUUCUAGUUGCUUUUUUUUCCCCCUAUUCUUUUCUCUUUCUUUUUUUUUUUUGUUUAGCAGUGUGUUUGUUGUUUUCCAGAUUCUUGAUAAUACUUCCUCCAUGCUUGGAGUUAACUAUUGAAGCUACAAGAGAUCCAAUAUUUUGCUUUAUUUUAUUUCCUUUCUUGCAUCUGUAUUCUUAAAACUUGAUUUCUGUUCUAUGCAUCAGCAUCUGAUGAAUUACUCGGAUUCCCCUUCAAGACAUUAUGAAUGAUGCAAUUUCGAGUUUCUGAUGCAAAUGUCAAGUCAUUUUAAGUAUUUUACUGGUUGCUUAUUGUUUGUUGUGAUUCACUCACUUUGUCCCGUGUUUCAUAUUUUAGAGGAAAUUUUUAUUGACUCUGAAUGUGAGACUGGAGAAUGCAAGCCUUGUGUUUCUUGGUAGGAGGUUGAUUUUUUCAUAAAAGAAGCCAAGAAAAGGAAGGUUUCAAUUUGUUUUAUCCCCGUUUGAAAAGGGUCGAAUUGAAAAAUUAUGAAGAACGCAAGCGACCCAUCAGUUGCUUAUGGUUGUUUUGAUUACAGUGGAAUCUUAAUCCCUUGUCCAAGUUUAGAUUAUACCUGAAAAGCUAAGUAAUGAGUGAAAGAGUUGACUUAUUUUGCUGAUAUUGAAUGAUUUUCACACAAUUCAAUCAACUUCAAGAAAUAGUUUUCUGUUUGAAUGUUGUGUACUGAGCUUCCAUUUUAAUUCUAUCUUGUUGAAGAAUUACAGUGGAAUCUUAAUCCCUUGUCCAAGUUUAGAUUAUACCUGAAAAGCUAAGUAAUGAGUGAAAGAGUUGACUUAUUUUGCUGAUAUUGAAUGAUUUUCACACAAUUCAAUCAACUUCAAGAAAUAGUUUUCUGUUUGAAUGUUGUGUACUGAGCUUCCAUUUUAAUUCUAUCUUGUUGAAGAAGUGCAUGAUUUAUUACUUCAUAUUACAGUGGCCUUUAAUGCAUGUUUAGUAAGAUCAAGUUCAACACCUACACUGUACUGUUGGAUAAAUAUGUUAUAUUUUGUUUUCUGGAUGCUUGAUGGUCUUUCUAAUAUCUCAUCUAAUCAGAGGAGCUAGAAAUGUAAAUGAAGUUUACCACUUGGGUAAUAAUAAAAACUUGGACUAGUCUGUACUUCAUAGAAUCCAGUGUUUCCAUUUUUACAUAACAUGCACUUGCCAGUUUAUAGGAUUCAUCUUGAUAAUUCUAAGAAGGAUGAUUUUCAGGUAUCAACUACCCUUUCGCCCCCCUGAAAGUUGUGUCUGCAUGGGUAUAGGUAGAUCUGUCUGUUAGUGUGUGUUUUAAUUGGAUUGAUUGUUCUUGAGACUGCAUGAAGUGAAAACAUCUUCAUUUUUCAUUAUAUUCUGAUUUCCUGAAACUUAUCCCUUGUUUAUCAUAACCUCGAUUGCCAAACAAGCAAAACAACCCCUUGGGUGUGUCUGGCUGCUUGAUGGACCAACUUCAGCAGUGAUGGUUGGAUCAGCAUCUCCUCUCUCCGGGGACAUAGUGAUCAUAUGCAUCCUUCGUGGGGUUUAAAAGUAUUCUGAGAUUCUUCAUUGUUUAUUCUCUUGGCAGGCCAGGAUUUUGGCACUAAAUGCAUCGUACUUCCUGAAAGCUGGAGGUCAUUUUGUUAUAUCAAUCAAGGUUUGUUUUCGAAUGGCUUUCUCCAAUUGAAAGAACUAGAAAUUUAAAUGAACUCUGGCCCAAUCUGUAUGUUGCACCGAAGAAAUUUCUGUAUAUCCAAGAGUAGUGAACAAUGAAUGGAACUUCACUACAUUGAUAAAAUUCAUUUAAACUUUUCAGGCAAACUGUAUAGAUUCGACAGUCCCAGCAGAAGCAGUAUUUGCCCAGGAAGUGAAGAAGCUGCAAGCGGAUAUGUUCAAGCCUUCUGAGCAGGUCACCCUUGAACCCUUUGAGCGAGACCAUGCUUGUGUGGUUGGUGGGUACAGAAUGCCAAAGAAACAAAAGCCCACAGCUUAGAAAAUGUGGGGAAAUCAACCCAUUGCUGAGGAAAAAUUGAUGUUGGAGGGAGGGUUACCUUUUUCCAUUUGAUUAGGUAGUGAGACUGUGCUAUUUGCUUUGUCAAACUUAAUUUUAUUUUAGCUGAGUUUUGGACCUUCAUGGAACAAUCAGAAUACCUGAACCUUGUGUAUUUGGUAUGAUGUUGAACAUUUACGGAAAUGUUCACAUGGAUAUGUAAUUUUUCUUCGGGAAACUUGAGUGCUCUUAUGAGUCAGAUUUGGUUUUGCUAUAAAAAAAAUAUGAAAGAAAAUUAGAUAUGAUAAAGUAGAAAUUUGUAUAUUUUAAAAUUAUUAAAAGGAAGUGAAAUGAGUUUGAUAGCAUAUAAAUUUAUUUGUUGAUUUUAAAGGUUUUUUUUAAUGUUUAUUAUUAUUAUAAUUUUUUUUUCCUUUUCUUUCUUUUCUGGGAAAUUUCUUUUAAAUUUUAAUUCAUCCAAGCAUAAACCUUAACUAUUAUUUUAAUUCAUCUCAAGUUUGAUAAGCCUAAUAAUUUAAAAGUGAUUUAAUAAUUUAAUUUAAAUUAUUAAAUAAAUUAAAUGUUUGAUAAAAUAAAUUAAUGGUAUGAAUUAAAGUUAAAAAUAAUUAAAGUUUUUAUUUUAUUUUAUUUAUCUUCAUUUGUUCUAACUAUUUUCAUGGUCCUUUUUACCGUAUUUCAUUUUUUUUACCUUAUUUAUAAUUUAUAAGGAUAAAUAUUUUAAUUUGAUAAUUUUAAAUUAAUUUUAUUAAACAACCUUGAUAUUUAAAAUUAGAAUUAAAUAAUAAGUUUUAAAUUAAUAAUUUAAAUAUAAUUUAAUUUAUUAAGUAAUAAGUAUUAAGUUUUCCUUAUAUCAUUUUUAAUUUUCUAAAAAUAUAAGAAAAAUAAAAUAAAAGAAAAGAAAAAAGUUAUUUAUGUAUAUUAUUUUAAAUUUAUUUUUAGUCUUAUAUAUAGAAUUUUAAUAAUUUGAAAAUGUAAGGGUUUAAUGAUAAGCUACUAGCUUUCAUCCCUAAUGACCUUUUAAAAUUUAAUUUGUGAAAUUUGAGGGUCACGCUUAUAUUCAAAUAUUUAAGACUAUUAAAAAAUGUCAGAAGUGGGAUUUGAACCCACGCCCUCUCUCGAGGACCAGAACUUGAGUCUGGCGCCUUAGACCACUCGGCCAUCCUGACAUUCACAGUCAAAGAUUUAAAACACUAAUUAAUAGCAUUUUUUAGUACUCUGCCUUCAUUCAAUUGAAAAAUAGGGGAUUGGGAUCAGCGUCUGCAAAGCAGUUCCACAUAUGACAACCACAUGGCAUUCACACGAUGUUUGGUUCUAACAUUAUAGAGAUUGUAACUAUCCGCUCUUAAUCACUUUCAUAGUUAAAUCAAUAUAUCAAUCUUCUAAAGAAGUCUUCGUAACUUUAAAAUACAUCUAUACAAUUACAAGAGAUUAUUAUAAAAUAAUUACUAAGUUAAUCUCGACCCAUAUGCAUGUCGAUACUGGAUACAUGGUGGAUCUCUCUCCUGGAUUUUACAACUCGCAAAUUAGAGAAGGCCGCCUUCCAAUUGUAUAAGAUAAAAGUUUUAGUCCCAAAAAUUUGAUCCACGUACUGAUUGGUGAGUCCAUAUAUGGACAUAAGCUAAAGACAAAGAGAAAAGGUUUGGGCUCAAAAUAAUGUCCCUAAUAUUAAUAUACGUUUUAUGCAAAUUGUUUUUAUAUGCAUUAUCAAAUGAUAUUACCUAAUAAUUUAAUAUGAUACUAGCGUCUUGUUUUUUCAAAAAAAAUUAAAGUUAAAUGAGUGAGAUCCAUAUUUCUUGAGAAAAAAGUUUUUAAGACUUACGAGACUUAAGAGUAUAUUUGGUAGUAAUUCUUGAAAGCAUUUAUAAUAUUUUUAAUACUUAAAAGAUAAAAUUUUUAAGUAUUAGAAAAAUUAAAAAUAUUUUCUAAAAUUACUACAAAACAGACUCUUAAAAUGCAUUUGAGAGUGAUUUUAGAAAGUAUUUUUAGUAUUUCUUAACACUUGAAUGAUAAAAAAUUUUAAGUAUUAGAAAUAUUAAAAGUGUUUCCUAAAAUCACUAUCAAAUCAACUCAAAAAUGUAUUUGACAAUAAUUUUAAGAAAUUUGUUUUUGGGCAUCAAUUUAUAGCUACUAUGAGUACCCUUCACUCAAUUCUCUCACCACAUUUUGGGGAGAUUGGUAGUUGGGAAGGCUUUCUUAUCUCAUUCAUUGCUUUGUUCGAAAGGGUUUGUUUUGGUUGAAAAAGUUCAGUUCUUCUAGGAGGCUCUUCAUCCUUCGUAGUUUGUUAAAGAUGACACAUGUCAUAUCUUAGUGAACAUGUUUAUUAAUAGAAAAGAUUCCUUAUUGUUACAAAAUGAUGCCCAUGCUAUUAGAUCAUAAGGAUGUUCGAAACCUUGAAAUAGAAAAUAAGCCUCAAGUUGUAGACCUCGACAAUGAUCUUACUAGACCUCAAAAUCACAUGAGUAGACACGGGUUUUUUUCUUUCAUCCAUACAAGGAAACCAAAAGAGAGGUAACAUCAUACAUCAUCGGCUUCAAUCCGUUGUCCUCCCCACUUCUGCAUCCUCUCUGUUGUUUGUUCUACCUGCAAUCAAUUCAGUUUCAAUAUCCAUCAGCAAGACUCUUACUUAAUCUAGUUCUGAGCCCUUUUUUUCAAUCUUUCUGUUUACAGAACUGGAUUGUGAACCAUGGGAUGCAAAUUGCAAAAGCCAUAAUGCAGACUCAAAGGUCAAGCUGCUCACCUCCCUGUUCCAGUUGGUUCUGUAUACUAUGAACAAUAGUACCAAUGUCUGCAAAGCAGUUCCGCAUAUCAUGCCCCCCCAAAGUCCCUGCACUCACAAAACCCAUUACAAUGAUUUAAUUCCGAAACCAGAUUUGUUAACGAUUCUUGGUAGGAGAAGUUCCAUGGAGAGAAAAAUUCACCUGCACCCCCAGUUUUGCUUUGUAACCUAGAAGGUAGCCUAGAGGGAUUCCAAGAAUGUAGUAGCAACCCAAGUUGAUGUAAGCCACCAUGGCUUGCCAUCCGCCUCCGACAGCAACGCCUAUAACAAUGAAGGAAUUAUGAAGGUGAGGAGGCGAACAAGACACACCAUGAGAGCUAUGCUAUGACACAAGUGGUAUAUAUGGAGAAGCGAAAAGCCGAUACCUGAAAAGACAGGCUGCAGACUGUUAAGAAGCAUGGUGACGCCCAGAAGAUAAGCUAGGUGAGAAACAGCCUCUUGCAUUUCCUUGUUGGUAGUGAAAAUGAUGGCAAUGUAGUCUCUAGCUAACAACACCACCACCAUGCAGAAAAUCCCAAUAAGGAGAGACUGAGAGACUGCGACAAAGACAGAGUACUUGGCUGCUCGUGGGUGUCCAUAUCCGAGCUCAUUGGAGACCCGAAUGCUGAAAAUUAAGCAAUAAAAGACAUCCAAAAUAUCCUCAAGAUGUACAGAUGAACAAACAACAUCCCUUAAAGCACAAAAAUUAUUGAAGAGAGCAGCGUAUUUGUUUUACCUCACAGCAGCAUUCAUCCCCAUGAACAUCACGACCUCCAACCCACCAAAAGUCAUGCUAAAACAUAUCAUAUGAACAAAUAAAUCAAAAGCUGAAAAUAAAUUACAAGGACCAAAAAGCAUAUGCUCAUUAGUCAUUAUUUCAGAAAAGGAAUGGUGAUCUCACCAAAUAGAAAGGGACCCAACUGCGAUAACUGCAUUUUGAAGGUGGCCGGUGAGAAGGAUUAUGAUCAUAAAAUACCAGAUCUCUAGGCAAAGCAUCACAGCGGAGGCAAGUGAAAGCCGAACAAAAGCCCAAAUCUCCCUGAAAGCUGACCAUGUUAAUCCUGUCCAUCCUUCUUUGCACCAACUGAUAGCAUAGACUACUUGAGCCACGGCGGUCACCCAACUCGAGAUGUCAUAAGCUAUGGCUGCACCAGUCGUGCCCCAACCGAACACAAAAAUGAAGACCGCAAGCAUUCCAAUGUCCAGGAUUAGAGCCACAAAACAGAUAGUUGCUUGCACAUUCACCUUACUUUGGGCUUGAAGGAACUUCUGGGUGGGGAAGAUGAUGGCAAGCGAGAACAAUUGAGGAAUGGUUUCGAGAGUGAAUUGUCCAGCAAGAUCAGCUAUCUCGUCUUCUUGCCCAAGGGCCUUUAGGAUUGGGGUGGCAAAGAUGUAUAUUGGCAAGAGGAUGAUACAGCUUACUAAUAGAAUUAUCCAUGAUCUCUGCAAGUAAACCCCAAGCAACUGGACUUGUCCAGCACCAUAAGCUUGUCCACAUAAGGUCUCCAGCGCACUCCCCAUACCAAGCUACAAAUUUGAAAGUAGAUUCAGAAUCAAAAUCUGUUUGUUUCAUCAGAAAAUGAAAUCAAGGAAAAUGACACUGUUGAUUCAAAACAAUGCAAGAUUUUUCAUUCCCAACUUGUUAUUCCAAGUUCCCGUUUCUUCUUUAACUGCUCCAGAAGCUUUCCGGAAUUUCUCAUCAACAAAGCACAAAUUUUUCUUAUAAUGCAAACAUGAUAUUAAUGAGUUUCUAGAAUCUUUCCCCCUUUAAGUUUAAAAUAAAAAAUUGAACUCAGGUAUUCUUAAAUGGCUCUGUUUGCUUGUUGGGAAAAUGAAGGAAAAGAAAAAUAAGAACAUUUUGAAAUUUAAUUAUUUAAGAGCCUAAUCCCCUCUCCUCUCCAAAGAAAAACAGAACUCCAAUAUCAACCUAUAAACCCGUUAAUAUCAACCGUCCUGAAUUCCAAAAUUUUCAGGUUCAGCACUUAAUUGUGAUCGAAAAAUUGGGUUUGAUCUUUUCACGAUCAAGAAACAGAAACAAUAUAAUAAUAAUAAUAAUGAUGAUGACAAAAACAUAAGAAUCGAGUCAUCAACCAAAAUAAUUUACUCUUAUGCAUGUUUCACUUUCUCCACAUUCUUAGAUGGUAUACAAAGUAAAAAAUUUUUAAAAUCAAAUGCAUUUGAAGAAGUAACCCAAGAGCCUGGCUGGCUCAAAUGUCAAAGCUAGAAAAUCAAAGUCUUUUUUUUUUUUCUUUUCCAUCGUUUCUCGGCAACCAAACAAAGGCACAGAUACGAAAAGCUACCACAAACUUCAUAAAUAACGGUGACAACCCAGAAAGGAAACACCCGUGACAGUAUGGAAGUGUAAAGAGAGAAAAGGAAUCCGACCAUGAAGCCAAAAGAGAAGGUUCCAAUGACAGAGACGGAAAUGGAGACAGCAGAGAGCUCAAGGUUUCCGAUAUGACCAACAAACACAGUGGUCACCAAGUUGGUUCCGAACUGACACAGUAUUUGGAAAGCCAAAGGCCCAGCAACUCUCCACACCUUCACUGUCUCUCUCCACAACAUUGACCUCACUUCCCUCCAGCUCGUCAAAGGCGGGUAGUCCCCGCCUUCGCCGCCGUAUCCCCUUUCGGCGCCGCUCUUGAGCAGCGGCGUCUCCAUUGGCGCCGAAGAAGACUGCCGCAUGCUCUUAGAGUCUCGCUAUAAAUAGAGGGCCACAUGGAUGUCGCGUGAGCCCCCAUUCAUGACCAUCAAAAUUAAAAAAAAUAUUUUAAUAUAAUAUAGUACGCCUUUUUUUCAAGUGGUGACUAAAUAUGGGCAUCAUAUAAAUUUUAUAAAUUAAUAAAAAAAAGAAUUAAUUAAUAUUGAUUUAUGAUUAAAUGGGAAAUCAUAUUUUUAAAAUCUAUUAAAAUUAUAAUUUAAAAUAUGAUUUUAAGUAAUUUUUUAAAAUUAAAAUAAAAUAUGUGAGAAAAAUAUAUUAUUUUUUAGCAUUGAAAAAUGUUGAAAUUUUUAAACGGGUUGGGGCCAAGCGACGGUCAAGUAUGAAAAAUUUCUACACCUGCCCCCGCUGCUGCCCCCACCCAUUUAAUUUAAUUUAUUUUUUUUACGAAGACUAGAAUAAAUAUAAACAACAGGAUGUAGGUGGAAUGGGCAACCCACCUAAUCGUCAUCCUUAACCAUAAUUGAUCGGACUAAUCAAAAAUCAUUUUAAUGUAUAUUUUAUAUAUUAUAUAAAUAUUUUUAAGUAAAUAAACAUAAAAAUAAGAAGAGCCGUUUGGAAUUAUUUUUUAAAAAUGUUUCUAACCCAAAAAAAUAUUUAAAAACUUUUUUUAAGUUGGAAAAUAGGUGUUUAAUAAUAUUUAGAAAAACACUUUUGAUAAUUUAGAUUCUGUUUGAAUGAAAAUGUUUUUAUUGAAAGUGUUUUUUUUACUGUACUUCUCUAAAAAAUGUUUUUAUGAAAAUAUGAAAAAAUGGUUCUAAUAGUAUUUUUGAUAAUAUAUUGUAUAAAUAAAAAAAAUAUUUUUAAUGAUAAUAAAUUACUAAAAAGGAACUUUACAAAAAUAAAAUAUUUUAAUAAAUCAAAUACUUUUAUUACAAAAUAUAUAUAAACAUUUAUAUUAUUAAAAAAACUAAAAAAAAAUAUAUUUUUAUGAAAAGGAAGUGAAAGAGGAAGAGGAGAGUGAGAAGGAAACAGAAAGUGAAAGAGAAAUUGGUGAUAACGGGAAAGGGUAUUUUAAGAAUAUAUGAAAAAAUUCGAAGUGUUUUUUUAAAGAAACACCUCCUAAGUGCUUAUCUAAAAAAAUACUUUCAAGUGUUUUCCUAAAUUUUAAAAGUAUUUUUAAGAAUAUUGUCAAACACCUAUUUUAUACCUUAAAAACGUUUGUAAGUGUUUUUAAGGUUAGAAAACACUUUCAAAAAACAACAGGCUUCUAGUGUUUCUUUAAAAAAACACUUCAAAAAUUUUCAUAUAUUCCUAAAAUACUCUUUCAUGCUACCUUCUAUUUCUCUUUCACUCUUCAUUACCUUGUUACUCUUCUCUCUUCCUCUUUCACUUUCCUUUAGUAAAAAUAAUUUUUUUAGUUUUUUAAUAAUAUAAAUGUUUAUAUAUUUUUUGAUAAUAAACUUUUUUAUUUAUUAUAAUAUUUUCUUUUUGUAAUAAGUGUUGUUUUCAAUCAUAAAAAGCAAUAUUUAUCAAAAACACUAUUAGAAUCAUUUUUCUAGAUUAUCAUAAAAGCGUUUUCAUAAAGAUAUUUUAGAAGAAAACACUUCAGUAAAAAUACUUUCACUAUAAGUAGUGGUAAACGAGCUCAAACUUUAUUAAAAUUUUGAUGACACUGCUUUUAGUGGAAGUGUUGUUAUUAAAAGUGUUUUUUUUUACAACACUUCUAUGAAAAACGUUUUUAUGAGAAUAUGGAAAAGUGAUUCUAAUAAUGUUUUUUUAUGAUAUAUCAUGUAAGUAUAAAAAUACUUUUAAUAAUAAUAAUAAAUUACUAAAAGAGACAUUUAUUACAAAAAAAAAUUAUAAUAAACCAAAAACUUUUAUUACAAAAAAAAUAUAAAUAUUUAUUAUAUUGUUAAAAAAAUAAAUAAAUAAUAUUUUUAUAAAAGGGGAGUGAAAAAUGAAGAGGAAAGUGAGAAGGAAGCCGAGAGUGAAAAAGAAACCAAAGAUAACGAGGAAGAGUAUUUUAAGAAUACAUAAAAAAUUUUGAAUUGUUUUUUCUUAAAGAAACACCUUCUAAGUGCUUUUCAAAAAAACACUUCAAGUAUUUUUUAAAAAAUUUAAAAAUUUUUAAAAGUGUUUUUUAAAAUAUUGUCAAACACCUCCUUUUUACCUUAAAAACAUUUUAAAGUAUUUUUAGGGUUAGAAACACUUUUAAAAAGUACUGUCAAAUAAGUUAAUAUGAUACUAAUAUUUUGCUUUUUCAAAAAAUUUAAAGUUAUACGAGUGAGAACCAUAUUUUUUGAGGGAAAAGUUUUUCGCACUCACAAGACAUAGCGUAGUUACAAUAAUAUUUCCACUUUAAAGUGUUUAUAGUGAAAAUGUUUUCUUUGAAAGUGUUUACAGGAUAAUCAUGUAUAGUUGUUGAAAACCUUCUAAAUGACUUUUCGCGUCAAUUCUUUGAAAAAUAUAGAGUUAUAAAAUCCGCAUCGAAUCGAGAAAUCAACAUAAAAGACAGCCCCACCGACCGCAGAGAAAGAAGACAAGGACAACCCUCAUGCUUCUAUGGCUAAAUAUCAGGACCCUUUCCUCAAUUCUCUCACCACAUUUUGGGGUAGAUUGGUAGCUAGGAAGGCCAACAAGAAUUCAAUAUAUACGUUGGUAGCUGGGAAGGCUUAUUUAUCUCAUUCAUUGAAUGGCUGAGGAGGGAUUACGAUUUUAUUUAUUUUUUAAUCAUUCUCAUAAAAAAAAAAUAUAUUUCAUUACUGUUAGAAAUUGAUGCCCAUGCUAUCAGAUCAUAAGGAUGUUUGAAACCUUGGAAUAAAAAAUAAGACUCAAAUAGUAGCGUGUAGACACGGUCCUUUUCUUUCAUCCAUACAAGGAAACCAAAAGAGAAGUAACAUCAUACAUCAUCGUCUUCAAUCCGCUGUCCUCCCCACUUCUGCAUCCUCUCUGUUGUUUGCUCUACCUGCAAUCAAUUCAGUUUCAAUAUCCAUCAGCAACACUCUUACUUAAUCUAGUUCUGAGCCCUUUUUUUUCAGUCUUUCUGUUUACAGAACUGGAUUGUGAACCAUGGGAUGCAAAUUGCAAAAGCCAUAAUGCAGGCUCAAAGGUCAAGCUGUUCACCUCCCUGUUCCAGUUGGUUCGGUAUACUAUGAACAAUAGUAUCAAUGUCUGCGAAGCAGUUCCACAUAUCAUGCCCCCCCAAAGUCCCUGCACUCACAAAACCCGCUACAAUGAUUUAAUUCCGAAACCGAUUUGUCAACAAUUCUUGGGAGGAGAAGUUCCAUGGAGAGAAAAAUUCACCUGCACCCCAAAGCAUCACAGCCGAUGCAAGUGAAAGCCGAACAAAAGCCCAAAUCUCCCUGAAAUCCGACCACGUUAAUCCUGUCCAUCCUUCUUUGCACCAACCGAUUGCAUAGACCACUUGAGCCACGGCGAUCACCCAAUUGGAGAUGUCAUAAGCUAUGGCUGCACCAGUCGUGCCCCAACCGAACACAAAAAUGAAGACCGCAAGCAAGCCAAUGUCCAGGAUUAGAGCCACAAAACAGAUAGUUGCUUGCACAUUCACCUUACUUUGGGCUUGAAGGAACUUCUGGGUGGGGAAGAUGAUGGCAAGCGAGAACAAUUGAGGAAUGGUUUCGAUAGUGAAUUGUCCAGCAAGAUCAGCUAUCUCGUCUUCUUGCCCAAGGACCUUUAGGGUUGGGGUGGCAAAGAUGUAUAUUGGCAAGAGGAUGAUACAGGUUACUAAUAGAAUUAUCCAUGAUCUCUGCAAGUAAACCCCAAGCAACUGGACUUGUCCAGCACCAUAAGCUUGUCCACAUAAGGUCUCCAGCGCACUCCCCAUACCAAGCUACAAAUUUGAAAGUAGAUUCAGAAUCAAAAUCUGUUUGUUUCAUCAGAAAAUGAAAUCAAGGAAAAUGACAGUAUUGAUUCAAAACAAUGCAAGAUUUUUCAUUCCCAACUCGUUAUUCCAAGUUCCCGUUUCUUCUUUAACUGCUCCAGAAGCUUUCUGGAAUUUCUCAUCAACAAAGCACAAAUUUUUCUUAUAAUGCAAACAUGAUAUUAAUGAGUUUCUAGAAUCUUUCCCCUUUUAAGUUUAAAAUAAAAAAUUGAACUCAGGUAUUCUUAAUGGCUCUGUUUGCUUGUUCGGAAAAUGAAGGAAAAGAAAAAUAAGAACAUUUUGAAAUUUAAUUAACUAAGAAACCCAUUAAUAUCAACCGUCCUGAAUUCCAAAAUUUUCAGGUUCAGCACUUAAUUGUGAUCGAAAAAUUGGGUUUGAUCUUUUCACGAUCAAGAAACAGAAACGAUGAUGAUGAUGAUGAUGAUGAUGAUGAUGAUGAUGAUGAUGAUGAUGAUGAUAAGAAUCAAGUCAUUAACCAAAAUAAUUUAUUUUUAUGCAUGUUUUACUUUCUCCGCAUUCUUAGAUGAGGUAACCAAGAGUCUGACUAACUCACAAGUCUAAAGAACGAAAAAAGUUAUGUUUUUAGAACUCGAUCGAUUAUUAAAUUAAAAAAUUAUCGAUUCACAGUUUAUUAAUUAAACCACGAUGAUGACGCUAUAUAUAUAUAAUUUUAAUAUUAUUAAAAUUUAAAACAUUUAUAAAAAAUUUAAAUAUAUAUAAUUUAAAAUUUUAAUAAAAUAAAAUAUUUAUAAGUAAUUAAAUAUAUAUAAAAAUAAAAUUAAAAAUUUAACAGUAUGUCAUUUUUAUAUUUAAUAUAUCAAAUUAAAUGACAGAAAAAAAUAUAAAUAUAUUUUUAAAAAUCCCCAAAAAAUUUUAGAUAAUCCAAUUUUAGGCGCAUUUACGCUCAUUUUUCAGAAAAGCCAUCUGCACCCUCCAUUUUCAUACUUGACCUCCACCCAUAGUUUAUAAAACAAAACCCAAAAAACCGUCAAUUUCUUCACCACCCGCCGCCUCUUUCCCCUAUUUCUCUUCUUCUUUUCCAGUUCUUCUUCUAGUUGCUCCCUUUCUCUUCUUCUUCUCCGUUUCCUCUUCCAGCCGCUUGCUCCCCUUUUUGGCUUUUUCCCCCUUUCUAUUCUUCUUCUCCAUUUCUUCUCUUUUCUUUUCUUUCUUUCCCUCUCUCUCUCUCUCUCUCUCAUCAUACCCACGCCUACCCUGACCAGCGGCCACCUCACCGUCGGCAGCAACUCAAGCGUGACUACCGAUGCCCGACCAGCAAUGUCCCAUUCCCACCAUAUCGCUAUCUCUCAUAAAAAAAUAAAAAAUAAAAAGGACAUGCAGUGAACCGUUCGGUUCACAACAAAUCGUGUAUUUUCAUCCAAAUCAGAAAAACCCGUUUAGUAAUGAUUGCAUCAUUUAAGUGUUAAAAAUGGUAAAAUAACUUUCAAAUGCAUUUUAUUUUACCUCAAAACCCUCAUUUUAUAUAAAAAAUAUUUUCUAAAAUUAAUUUUCUGCCCGCAUUUUUGGGGGUAGAAUGGUAGCUAGGAAGGCUUUCUUAUCUCAUUCAUUGUUUUGUUGCGAGGGAUUGAAACCUUGGAAUAGAAAAUAAGCCUCAAAUGGUAGACCUCAACAAUGAUCUUACAAGACCUCAAAAUCACAUAAGCAGACACGGGUUUUUUCUUUCAUCCAUACAGGGAAACCAAAAGAGAAGUGACAUCAUACAUCAUCGGCUUCAAUCCGUUGUCCUCCCCACUUCUGCAUCCUCUCUGUUGUUUGCUCUACCUGCAAUCAAUUCAGUUUCAAUAUCCAUCAGCAAGUCUCUUAAUCAAUUCAGUUUACAAAACUGGAUUGUGAAGUAUGGGAUGCAGACUCAGAGGUCAAGCUGCUCACCUCCUUGUUCCAGUUGGUUCUGUAUACUAUGAACAAUAGUAUCAGUGUCUGCAAAGCAGCACCACAUAUCAUGCCCCCCCAAAGUCCCUGCACUCACAAAACCCAUUAUAAUGAUUUAAUUCCGAAACCCGAAUUAUUAACAAUUCUUAGUGGGUGAAGUUCCAUGGAGAGAAAAAUUCACCUGCACCCCCAAAUUUGCUUUGUAACCUAGAAGGUAGCCUAGAGGGAUUCCAAGAAUGUAGUAGCAGCCCAAGUUGAUGUAAGCCACCAAGGCUUGCCAUCCGCCUCCGACGGCAACGCCUAUAACAAAAAAGGAAUUAUGAAGGUGAGGCGGCCAAGAAGACACCCCAUGAGGGCUAUGCUAUGACACAAGUAGUACAUAUGGAGAAGUGAAAAGCCGAUACCUGAAAUCACUGGCUGCAUACUGUUAAGAAGCAUGGUGAUACCAAGAAGAUAUGCUAGGUGAGAAACAGCCUCUUGCAUUUCCUUGUUGCUAGUGAAAAUGAAGGCAAUGUAGUCUCUAGCUAACAAGACCACCACCAUGCACAAAAUCCCAAUAAGGAGAGACUGAGAGACUGCGACAUAGACAGAGUACUUGGCUGCUCUUGGAUGUCCAUAUCCGAGCUCAUUGGAGACCCGAAUGCUGAAAAUUAAGCAAAAAAAGAAAUCCAACAUAUCCACAAGAUGCACUGAUGUACAACAUGCCUCAUAGCACAAAAAUUAUUGAAGGAGAACAGCUUAGGUGUUGUACCUUAGAGCAGCAUUCAUCCCAAUGAACAACAUGGCCUCCCACCCAUUAAAAUUCAUGCUAAAACAUAUCAGAUAAAUGGUUAAAUCAAAAGCAGAAAACCAAAAGCAUAUGUUCAUUAGUCAUUAUUUCAGAGAAGGAAUGGAGGAAUGGUGAUCUCACCAAAUAGAAAGGGACCCAACCGCAAUGACUGCAUUUUGAAGGUGUCCAGUGAGAAGGAUUAUGAUCAUAAAAUACCAUAUCUCUAGGCAGAGCAUCACAGCUGAGGCAAGUGAAAGCCGAACAAAAGCCCAAAUCUCCCUGAAAGCCGACCAUGUUAAUCCUGUCCAUCCUUCUUUGCACCAACCGAUAGCAUAGACAACUUGAGACACGGCAAUCAUCCAAUUCGAUAUGUCAUAAGCUAUGGCUGCACCAGUCGUGCCCCAACCGAACACAAAAAUGAAGACCACAAGCAUUCCAAUGUGCAGGAUUAGAGCCACAAAAGCAAUAGUUGCUUGCACAUUCACCUUGCUUUGGGCUUGAAGGAACUUCUGGGUGGGGAAACUGAUGGCGAGCGAGAACAAUUGAGGAAUGGUUUCGAUAGUGAAUUGUCCUGCAAGAUCAGCUAUCUCGUCUUCUUGCCCGAGGGCCUUCAAGAUUGGGCUGGCAAAGAUGUAUAUUGGCAAGAGGAUGAUACAGGUUACCAAUAGAAUUAUCCAUGAUCUCUGCAAGUAUACCCCAAGCAACUGGACUUGUCCAGCUCCAAAAGCUUGACCACAUAAUGUCUCCAGUGCACUCCCCAUACCAAGCUACAAAUGUGUAAGUUGAUUAAAAAUCUGUUUGUUUCAUCAGAAAAUGAAAUCAAGGAAAAUGACAGUUUUGAUUCAGAACAAUGCAAAAUUUCCAUUCCCAACUUUUCUUCUUUAACUUCUCCUCAGCAAUCAAAGGAAGCCUUGGAGAAUUUUUCUUCAACAGAGUACAAAUUUUCUUGUCAUGAAAAUUUCUAGAUUAUUUCCCCUGAUAUACUUCAAAAUGAUUAUUGCUAAGUAUAAGCCAAGUUUUGUUUUGGACCCAAGUAAAUUCAUUUGAAACCAGAAAAAAUAAAAUUUUUGAAAGCAAAAGUUGAACUCAGUUACUCUUAAAUGGCUCGAGAAAAUGAAGGAAAAGAAAACAAGGAAAAUUUUGAAAUUUUCAUUAUUUAAGAGCCUGAACCCUUCUUCUCUCCAAAGGAAAACAGAAUCUGAAAAUUUUGGAAAUUUUCAGGUUCAGCAAUUAAUUGUGACAUACACUUGGGGGUUGAUUUUUCAUGAUUAAGAGCAGUGUUUUAAAAAACACUUUUAAUAUUUUUAACACUUCAAAAAUUUUGUUAUUUAAGUAUUAGAAAUAUUAUAAAUGUUUUCUAAAAUCACAAUCUAGAAAACAAAAAUAAAAUAAUCAUAAUAAUAAUAACAAAAGCAUAUGAAUCAAACAAUAUAAUUCAUCCUCGCACAGUAAAAAAAAUUUUAAAAAUCAAAGGCAUUUGAAGAAAUAACCCAAGAGCCCGGCUGGCUCAAAACUCACAAAUUUUUUUCUUUUCCUUUCCUUUCCUUUCUUGGAAACCAAACAAAGGGACAGAUACCGAAGUCAAAAGCUACGACAAACUUCAUAAAUAAUGGUGAAAAUCCCAGAAAGGAAACACCCGUGACAGAACAAAUACACAUACAUAUCGAUACAUACAUUGAUUGAAGUGAAGAGAGAGAGAAAAGGAAGCUGACCAUGAAGCCAAAAGAGAAGGUCCCAAUGACAGAGAGGGAAAUGGAGACAGCAGAGAGCUCAAGGUUUCCGAUAUGACCCACAAUCACAGUGGUCAUCGAGUUGGUUCCGAACUGACAAAGUAUUUGGAAAGCCAAAGGCCCAGCAACUCUCCACAGCUUCACUGUCUCCGUCCACACCAUUGACCUCACUUCCCUCCAGCUCCUCAAAGGCGGGUAGUCUCCGUCUCCGCCACCGUGUCCCUUUUCUGCGGCGCCGUUGAGCAGCGGCGUCUCCAUUUUUCCCAGCUCUGAUCCGACCGUCGGUUGAGGCAGUGGGGGUUGAGGCGUUGGCGCUCAAGGGUCUGCUGCUUGCUUAUAAGUAAUAACUGCAAGGCCACAUGGAUGUCACAUGGGCCCACAGUCAUGCAUGAUUUCAACCACCCAAAAGCCCAACCCCCAAAAAAUCCAACCCCCGAAUUAGCCAAAAUCAUUGCUAGACUCUUAACAUUUAAAACCAACGUCAAAUCCUUAUCUUGGUUGAUAGCACAUAAUUAAAUAGAAUAUGUAAAUUCUAAUAUAUUAUAUCCAAUUUCAUAAAAAAUUCAUAUCAUAGAAUAUAAUUUUUAAUGGAAUAUAAUCCUUGAAUAUAAAUAUUUUAUAGACACGGUAUUUUAAGAUAACAUAUUCAAUCAAUUAUAUUAUAUUAUAUUAUAUUAUGUUUAUAUUUAAUUUAUAAAAUAAAUAAAUAAAGAAUGAAAUAUGUAUUAUUUUCAAUAUUAAAAAUAAAAAUUAUAUCUUAUUUCAAUAUUUUCUAUGUUAAAAAAUAAAUUUUUUCAUAUGUUUAAUAAUAUUUAUGAUUAAAAUAUCUAAACUUGCAAGCAUAUCAAAAAAUUAAAAUAGUAGUAAUAAUAAUAAUAAUAUGAUCAUAAAAGGUCACAUGUUUUGAAUAAUUGAUGUUAAGAAUAUAAAAUGUGAGAAAUAAAAAUACCUUUAGUCAUCAAACAUUUGAAUAAUACUUGCAAGCAAAAAUCCUCUUUGAAAGCAAUCAAUCUAUGAGUUCCUCUCACCAAACCAUUAAAUAGGAAGGAAUUGAAGUAUUUCUUGUCAACUUCACUACUUUCCCUCAUUGACGGGUUGCUCAUUACUAGGAAUUGAAGUAUCUCUUGUCAACUUCGCUACUUUCCCUCGUUGAAAGGUUGCUCACUACCAAGAAAAAUGCAUCACACACUCAUCUCAUACACAUUUCUGCAUGCACGCAUUAGAAUUUCGAAUCCAUACCCCCACUAAACGUGCAAGGUUUCCUUUUCAAAAUCAACCAAUUUAUAGAUUUCUUUUACCAUACCACUUAAACAUGAUUAACAUAUUUAUACACAUAUCCAAUUACACAAACAUGGAUUUUGAACAAUUGUACUAGGCAAUUGCACUAGCUAGCAACCGUAGAAAGUAAUUGCACCGAUUAUAUAUUACUAAUAAACUAAUUGUAUAAAGAGUGUAUAAGAUAAUCUAUUGUGAAGGAAUUUGAGUGUUUUGGUAAUUCUCACUUGCUUCAUUUCCUCACCAAAGGAUUUGGAAAGUUUUAAUAAAUGACAAUAAAAUAAGCAAGUGUUAAAAUUUUCUUUUCAAAUUCUAAAAAAUCCAAUAAAUAUAAAAAUAGAUUGAUAUUUCUCAAAUAAAAUUAAAAUGGAAGAAAAAAAAUCCUUUGAAUUAAAAUUUAAUUUUUUUAUCUUUUAAGUUGAUUUAUAAAUAUUUUAAAAAUAAAUAGAAAAUUAAAAUAUUUUAAUUGAAUUUUAAGAUAAAAUUUGAAAAUAAUAAUAAUACUAAUAACCUUCAUAUAAGAUACAAAAACUUUGAGUCAUUGAAUCAACAGGCUGGGCUAGUUGGACUCUUAGACGGACAAACCAAUCUAAUCAAGUCCUCAAGAUUUCUGGUAUACGUGAUCAAUUACACCUGAUGUCUGAGCGCCGACCUAAACACCUCACAUCUGAGUGGCGAAUUAGAUGUUUGACGUCUAAGGAGUGAACGGAACUCCAUUGACGCCCAAAAAUCAAUGUCAAUUAAUUGUUAUACACAAUCCCAAACAUUGGCAAGCUAAAUAAACAGUCAGCCGCAUGAUCCGAGAUUUUGACACGUCAGCAAAUAAUACUAGUCAACCACCCUUAUCCGAUAUGAUUGCCUAGUCGCCCUAAGGGCAAUCAUCAUUACAAGAAAGGUUAGAGUGCAUAGUCAGCACUAUAGUGACAAUGUCAUUAACUUUAUAUAAACCCUUCAAAAAGUACAAACAAGGUACGCAUGCACAUACGCUCAUUUUCUUCCACAUAAAUAGUUAAAACUACCCUUGUUUGACUUAAGCUUUGGAGGGGUAUACACGGAUCACCUGUCCAAACAUCCUUUUGUGCAACGAAGAAGUCCGUCUAACUCCAAGAUAGUUGGACGGACUCUUCAAGAAGCACAAACAAGGGAGGUAGUCCACCUGAUUCCAGUUGGGAACGAGACCAACAUUGAUGCAGUGCUCAUCCACAAAAAAUGUGAGCUCAAAAUCGAGCUACCUACAAAACCUCUAACAAAAUCACAAAAGCAUUAGAGGUUUUUUAUUUCAUCCAUACAAGGAAACCCAAAGAGAAGUAACAUCAUACAUCAUCACUGGUCUUCUCGGUUUCAAUGUGUUGUCCUUCCCACUUCAGCAUCCUCUCUGUUGUUUGCUCCACCUGCAAUUUUUUAUCCAAUUUAACUCAUUGAUUCAUUUACUUUGGCCCUGAUUAGAUCAAAGGGAAGGAAGAUCAGUGAUAACCAAAGGCCAAGCUGAGCUGCUUACCUCCUUGUUCCAAUUGGUUCUGUAAACUAUGAACAACAGAAUCAAUGUCUGCAAAGCUGUUCCACAUACCAUGCCCCCCCAUAGUCCCUUCACUCCCAAUUUUGCUUUGUAACCGAGAAGGCAGCCGAGAGGUGAGCAUGGUUGAACCAACCUGGUAAUUGGUUUGUACCAAAAGUUGGAAAAAAAACAUAAUAAAAUCAUCUCAAAUAUCUAAUAUUUUUUUUUAAAAAACUUCUAUUUUCCAUAUGUAAUUUUUUAUAUGUUUUAUUUAAUAAACUUUAAAAUAUUAAUAUAUUUAUAUAAAAUAUGAAAAAAUAAAUAUUAAUGAUUUUUAAUUUUAUUUAUAUUUAAUUUUUUUAUUUAUUUUUAAUUUUAAUAAAAUAUAAAUUGUAUAUUUAUGACUUCACCGAUUCUACCGCGAUUCAACCACCGAUCCAACCACUAAACUACGAUAACUUUUUCGAUUCGCUGACUGGUUCAAUUCUGAAAACAUUGAAAAUUAUUGAAUAGCAGCAUAUUUGUUUUACCUCAACGCAGCAUUCAUCCCAAUGAACAAAAUGGCCUCCCACCCAUUAAAAUUAAUGCUAAAGCGUAUCAAAUGAACAAAUAAAUCAAAAGCUGAAAAUAAAUAAAAACGUGAGAAGGACACCAGAUCUCUAGGCAAAGCAUCACAGCCGAGGGUCUGCUGCUUGCUCCUACUAAAAAUAUAAGGCCACAUGGAUGUCACGUUUCAACCACCAAAAAACCUAACCCCAAAAUCAUCGGUACACUCGACAUGUAUUUUAAAUGCUAGGUGGGUGCCACAUGCAAGGCAGGUGGGUGUUAGGCAAUAAACCUAAUCUAAAUGCAAACUUCUCAACCGGCUCAAAAAACAGCAUCAUGUGCCAGUUCAUAAAAAAUUUAGGGUUAUUUGAUUAAAAGGGUGAUUAGAAGCUCAAUUUUGAAAAUUUAACCCUUUAUUAUUUUUUAACCUUAUUUUGAUCUAAAUAACCUUAUUAUUAUUUUUUUAUAAAAAUAACCAUUUCUUUUAAAACAUAUUGUAAAUAUUUAAAAUAAUCAAUGACAUUUACGUCAAAAAUAAGUUUUUCUUCAAAUAAAAACAUGAGAAUUGAUAAAUUUAUGAAUAUAAAAAAUAUUUCAUCUCUUUUAACCAAUUAUAUCAUAAAUUUAUAGAUGUGUUAAUUGACGAUUUGAAAUCAAUGAUGAUUAGAUAUAUUUACAUCAAAUCCCAAGGCUCUAAAUGAAAUGAACCCAUAAAAUUAAGCCUACAAAUAUAUAAUUUAUGUUUUAUUAAAAUUAUUUAUAAUUAUAAAAAUAAUAUUAAUAAUUAAAUAGACAUAUAAAUAAUAAAUUUUAUUGAAAUUUUAAUAACAUAUCUGAUAUUUGAUUUGAUUUUAUUUGUUGGUGGGAUCACCAACAACUCUUAUUUGACAUCAAGUCAAUUUUUAGAUAAGCAAGAGUCCUUAUCCAUAGAAUUAGCUCAAAAAAUAAAAAAUAAAAAAUAAAAAUAAAAGAGAGAGAGAGAGAGAGAUAAUUCAGGCAUGAUACAUCUAAAUCAAAUCCAGCAUUGUCCCAACCAGUGGGAAAAAAUAAAAACAAAAAGCCAUGUUAAAAGAUAAAAUUCAUUAAUUAAUGCACUCUAUUAAAUUCCAUAUUCUAGUCGGUAUAUGUUACCAUUGCUACCAAGUCAUGAAGAUUCACCCAAAUUUGAAAUGGUGGCCUUUUGCUCAACUUCCAAUCAUAUAUGAAAAUACAAAGGUCCAAGCAAAUUCUACAGAUCAAUUAUUUCUUAAACUAUGGAAAUUAUGCCUAACUUAAACUAAAAGUAAAAAAAAAAAUGAAAAUAUUAGGUUUUCCAGCCUUUAAAAACUUUGGAUCCGACUAGGAUUUACUUUAAAAAAAAUGUUAAAUCAAAUAAAUGUUUUUGUACUUGUUUAACUAAUUUUAUUAAAAUGUUUUAUGCAAGUGUAUUUAAAUAAUAAUAAUAAUAAUAAUAUAUAGUUUGUGAUAUCCCAUAUCAUAUAGGAGAGAAAAAUUAUGAUACUAUAUAAGUAUAAGUCCUUCUUAACCCUAUAAAUGUGUUAUAAAGCCGUGAAGGCCUCUUUGAACUCAAAAUAGACAAUAUUUACACUAUUAGGUGUGUACUAUUACAAAUGGUAUCAGAAUAGAUUUCAAUAGACACAUUUUAAAGCUGUGAGGACUCAUUUGGACCCAAAAUAAAUAAGUCCUCAUUUGGACCCAAAAUGAAUAAUAUAUACACGAUUAGGUAUAAGUCAUUACAAAUAAUAUCAAAGUCAAUCCCCGACUCUAGUGUAGGGGUUUGUUUGACCCCAUUUGGAGUGUUUAUCUAUUUAACCCUACAAUCCCAUGAGAUACAACGAAGACAUUGUAUUUGUAUGGGAGGGUGUUUAUGAUAUCCCACAUCAAAUAAGGGAGAAAGUAUUUGACGUUAUAUAAGUAUGGACCCUUUUUAACCUUGUAAACAUGUUUUAAAGUUGUGAAUGUCCAUUUAGGCCUAAAACGGACAAUAUUUACAUAGUUGGAUGAUCUAUGAGUUCUUCUCACCAAACCAUUAAAUCAUGUUUCCUUGAACAAGGCUAAUGCACUAACUAUAUAAGGGAUGUAUAAGACAACCUACUAUAAAGAAAUUGAAGUAUUUCUCGUCAACUUCCCUACUUUCUCUUAUUGAAAGGUUGCUCACUACCAAGAAAAAUGCAUCACACUCUCAUCCCAUAGAUAUUUGUGUAUGCACACAUUAGAAUUUCGAAAUCCCUACCCCAACUAAGCAAGCAAAGUUUCCUUUUCAAAAUCAAUUGAUUUAUAGAUUCCUUCUACCAUACCUUUGAAACAUGAUUAACAUACUCAUACACAUAUCCAAUAAUACAUACAUGGAUUUUGAACGACUACUAGACAGUUGCUCUAGCUAACAAUUCUACAAAACAAUUGCACUAAUUAUAUAAGACCAAUAAACUAAUUGUAUAAAGAGUGUACAAGAUAGUCUAUUAUCAAGAAUUUGAGUGUUUCUUUAAUUCUUACUUCUUUCCCCUCACCAAAGCAUUUGAAAAGUUUUAAUAAAUGAAAAUAAAAAUAAAAAUAAGUAAGUUUUAAAUUUUGUUUUCAAAUUUAAAAAAAAAAAAUCCAAUAAAUAUAAAAAUAGAUUGAUAUUUUUUUAAAUAAAAUUAAAAUGGAAGAAAAAAAAUUAUCCUUUGAAUCAAAAUUUAAUUUUUUAUCUUUACGUUGAUUUAUAAAUAUUUUAAAUAUAAAUAGAAAAAUUAAAAUAUUUUAAAUGAAUUAAGGUAAAAUUUGAAGAAAAAAUAAUAAUAAUAACUUUAAUAUAAGAUGCAAAAAGUUUGGCUUACAUUAAAAAGGUAAUGGUUUUAAAAAAUAUUUAAAAAUUUUAAGAUAUUAGAAAAAACAAAUACUAUCUCAAAUUUUGAAGUUUUGAGUGUCGAUUGAAAUUUUUUAAUUUUCUCAUUUCAGUUAAGAUGUUAAAAUAUUUAAAAUUUGUACUAUUUCAUUAGUUCAUCAAAAUGGUUCAAAUUUACUUACCAUGCCUACCUCAACAUUUUAAAACUAUAAUAGAGGGUUCCUGUCAAUUUUAAAAAGAAAUAAAGGGUAUUUUAAGAAUUUUCAAAUACCGACAUAUAAAAAUCAACUUCGUAAUAAUUUAACAUCUUCCUCGACCAUUUCAACCCAAAUACGCAAGUUAUAGGAUGUUGACCCACUUAUUAAGUCCAUCUAUCUUUAAAGCACAAUUAGUCCUCUUUUUCUUUAAAAAAAAAUAAUAAUCAUAAUGUAUGUAAAAAGUUCUUUUAUAACACACUUCAACUUUGACUUCACGACUUUGACUUCAACUUCAACUUUUAAGUAAAGUCAAAUAUCAAAAAUGAUCCUCGGAUCUUUGUACCCCUUCCCCGAUUGAGAGUAUUGUAGACUUCAUUUAUAAUCCUAUGAGGCCUACAUCUCUACCAGGACUCACUGUAAUGAAAGCCUCGAUGCAGUGCUCAACCAGAAAAAAUGUGAGCUCAAAAUUGAGCUACCUACAAAACCUCUAACAAAAUCACAAAAGCAUUACAUGUUUUUUAUUUCAUCCAUAAAAGGAAACCCAAAGAGAAGAAGUAACAUCAGACAUCAUCACUCGUCUUCUCGGUUUCAAUCUGUACUCCUCCCCACUUCUGCAUCCUCUCUGUUGUUUGCUCCACCUGCAAUUUUUUAUCCAAUUCAACUCAUUAUUUCAUUUACUUUGGCCCUGAUUAGAUCGAAGGAAAGGAAGAUCAGUGAUAACCAAAGGCCAAGCUGAGCUGCUUACCUCCUUGUUCCAAUUGGUUCUGUAAACUAUGAACAACAGAAUCAAUGUCUGCAAAGCUGUUCCACAUAUCAUGCCCCCCCAAAGUCCUUUCACUCCGAAUUUUGCUAGGUAACCGAGAAGGCAGCCGAGAGGGACCCCAAUAAUGUAAUAGCAACCCAAGUUGAUGUAAGCCACCAAGGCUUGCCAUCCGCUUCCGACGGCAACGCCUAUAAUAAAGAAGGAAUUAUGAAGGUGAGGAGGCCAAGAAGAUGCCCCAUGAAGGCUAUGAUACAAGUAAUAUGGAGAAGGAAAAAGCUGAUACCUGAUAAGACUGGCUGCAUACUGUUCAGAAGCAUGGUGGCACCAAGAAGAUAUGCUAGGUUAGAAACAGCCUCUUGCAUUUCCUUGUUGCUAGUGAAAAUGAAGGCAAUGUAGUCUCUAGCUAACAAGACCACCACCAUGCACAAAAUCCCAAUAAGGAGAGACUGAGAGACUGCAACAUAGACAGAGAACUUGGCUGCUCUUGGAUGUCCAUAUCCGAGCUCAUUGGAGACCCGAAUGCUGAAAAUUAAGCAAUAAAAGAGAUCCAAAAUGUCCACAAGGUGUACAGAUGAACAAACAACAUUCCUUAAAGCACAAAAAUUAUUGAAGAGAGCAGCAUAUUUGUUUUACCUCAGAGCAGCAUUCAUCCCAAUGAACAACAUGCCUUCCCACCCAUUAAAAGCCAUGCUAAAACAUAUCAGAUGAACAAAUAAAUCAAAAGCUGAAAGUAAAUUACAAGGACCAAAAGCAUAUGCUCAUUAGUCAUUAUUUCAGAAAAGGAAUGGAGAUCUCACCAAAUAGAAAGGGACCCAACUGCGAUGACUGCAUUUUGAAGGUGGCCAGUGAGAAGGACUAUGAUCGUAAAAUACCAGAUCUCUAGGCAAAGCAUCACAGCCGAGGCAAUUGAAAGCCGAACAAAAGCCCAAAUAUCCCUGAAAGCUGACCAUGUUAAUCCUGUCCAUCCUUCUUUGCACCAACCAAUAGCAUAGACAACUUGAGACACGGCAAUCACCCAAUUCGAUAUGUCAUAAGCUAUGGCUGCACCAGUCGUGCCCCAACCGAACACAAAAAUGAAGACCGAAAGCAUUCCAAUGUGCAGGAUUAGAGCCACAAAAGCAAUAGUUGCUUGCACAUUCACCUUGCUUUGGGCUUGAAGGAACUUCUGGGUGGGGAAGAUGAUGGCGAGUGAGAACAAUUGAGGAAUGGUUUCAAUAGUGAAUUGUCCAGCAAGAUCAGCUAUGGCAUCUUCUUGCCCAAGGACCUUUAGGAUUGGGGUGGCAAAUACGUAUACUGGCGAGAGGAUGACACAGGUUACCAAUAGAAUUAUCCAUGAUCUCUGCAAGUAAACCCCAAGCAAGUGGACUUGUCCAGCACCAUAAGCUUGUCCACAUAAGGUCUCUAGUGCACUCCCCAUACCAAGCUACAAAUUUGUAAUUAGAUUCAAAAUCAAAAUAUGUUUGUUUCAUCAGAAAAUGAAAUCAAGGAAAAUGACAGUAUUGAUACAAAACAAUGCAAAAUUUUCCAUUCCCAACUUGUUAUUCAAAGUUCCCAUUUCUUCUUUUAACUGCUCCUGAAGCUUUACAGAAUUUCUCAUCAACAAAGCACAAAUUUUUCUUAUAAUGCAAACAUGGUAUUAAUGAGUUUCUAGAAUCUUUCCCAUUUUAAGCUUAAAAUUAAUAAUAAUAAAAAAUUAAAAAAAAUUGAAUUUAGGCAUUCUUAAAUGACUCUGUUUUGCUUGUUGAGAAAAUGAAGGAAAAGAAAACAAGGAAAAUUUUGAAAUUUAAUUACUUAAGAGCCUAACCCCCUCUCCUCUCCAAAGGAAAACAGAACUCCAAUAUCAACCUACAAACCCAUUAAUAUCAACCGUCCUGAAUUCCAAAAUUUUCAGGUUCAGCAAUUGAUUGUGAUCGAAAAUUUGGGGUUGAUCUUUUCAAGAUUAAGAAACAGAAACAAUAUAAAAAUAAUAAUAAUAAUAACAAAAACAUAAGAAUCAAGUCAUCAACCAAAAUAAUUUAUUCUUGGGCAUGUUUCUCCACAGUCUUAGAUGGUAUACAAAGUAAAAAAAAAAAAAUUAAAAAUCAAAUGCAUUUGAAGAAGUAACCCUAGAGCCUGGCUGGCUCAAAAGUCAAAGCAAGAGAACUAAAAACCCAUUUUGUUUUUUCUUUUCCGUCGUUUCUCGGCAACCAAACAAAGGCACAGUUACGAAAAGUUACGACAAACUUCAUAAAUUACGGGGACAACCCAGAAAGGAAACACCCGUGACAGUCUGGAAGUGCAGAGAAAGAAAAAAAAAAGAGAGAGAAAAGGAAGCCAACCAUGAAGCCAAAAGAGAAGGUGCCAAUGACAGAGAGGGAAAUGGAGACAGCAGAUAGCUGAAGGUUUCCGAUAUGACCCACAAACACACUGGUCAUCGAGUUGGUGCCGAACUGACACAGUAUUUGGAAAGCCAAAGGCCCAGCAACUCUCCACAGCUUCACUGUCUCCUUCCACACCAUUGACCUCACUUCCCUCCAGCUCCUCAAAGGCUGGUAGUCUCCGUCCGCGCCACCGUAUCCCUCUUCGGCGCCGCCGUUGAGCAGCGGCGUCUCCAUUUUCCGACCGUUGGUUAAGGCAGCUGGUGUUGAGGCGUUGGCGUUGAAGAAGACUCUGCCGCUUGCUCUUAAGUCCUGCCGUAAAUAUAAGGCCACAUGGAUGUCACGUGGCCACCCUUUGAUACCAACCAAAAUUAAUUCACGAAUGAUGUUUUAUUUUUACACGUCCUUGAAAUUUGGAGUCAAAUUGAUCUUGAAAAUUGUAUCAAAAUCAUAAUUUAAAAUAUGAUUUUUUUUUAAAAAUAUGUGAGAAAAAUAUAUCAUUUUAAAUAUUUAUUUUAAUAUUAAAAAAAUUAAAAAUUUUAAAUAGGAAAAGAUGGGACAAGCAUAAAAGGAUGAGAACGAAUAUAAACAAUCGAAACCACGAGAUAUUGAUGAGAUAACUCCGAACACUUAUUCAACAUGCAAACAUUUCAAGGACGAAACCAUCUAAAUGGUCCAGCUUUGGUAGCAACUUUCCACAACUUAGACUAUUCAAAACAAAAAACAACCAAAAAGGCAAAAAUAAAAUAAGAUACGACAAAAUAAAAGUAAAAGGUGAUGUUGAAAGAAAAAGAGUUUCCGUUUCCGACUACAUUCUAAAAAAUAAUUUUUGAGAAUAAGUUUUUAAGAUUUUUUUUUUUUUGAUAUUUUAUGAAAUAAAAGUAAAUUUGAUCAAAAUUUAAAAAAUAGUUUUUUACAUAAUAUUUUAUUUUUAAAUAUUACUCAUAUUUUUAUAAUUAUUUUUAAAAAUAUCUUUUAGAAAAUAAGUAAAGACAAUUAAAAUAUAUUAUUUAAAAACAUCAUGUUUUUUAUAUUUAAGAAUAAAAAAAUUGUUUUAUGCUUUUUAAUUGGUUUUAAAUUUUAAAAAUAAUUUUUAUAUAUAGUGUUUUAUUUUUAAUCAUUUCUCAUAUUUUUAUAAUUGUUUCUUAAAAUAACAUAAAAAUUGAUAUAUUGAUUCACACAAGAAUGCACGUAAAAUACUAAAUAAAAUUAUUUAUGUUCAAGCAAGUUCUAACAAUACCAUUAUGACCACAAGGUCGGUGGUUUCUUAGCCUUCGAUUGGUGCUUGUGGUUUCAAGGGUACAAUAAGAGGGACGUCAUUUACUGCUCAAAUCACAAUAGAAAAUGUCAUUCAUACAUAAUGGAUCAAGGUAUACAAUAAGUAGAAGUCAUGAUAAAGGGUCUCGUAUCAAAAAGAAAUGCAACAUUAAGAACGAAACAACUAAAAAAUAUUAGUUUCUUAAUAAGUUAAUAAGUUAUAAUGAUAAUAUUUUCAAUAAAAUUAAUAAUAAUACCAAUAGUAACAAGAUAAUAAUAUUGAGUAUAAUUGCUAAUAUCCAUAUCAUGAAUAAUGAUGUAAAUAAUAAUAAUAAUAAUUAUAAUUAUUAUUAUUAUUAUUAUUAUUAAAAAUAAUUAAUGGAUAUGAAGAGAAUUUUAAUGAAUGCAUUAAAAAAAUUUCUCAAAAUUAAAAGCUAAUGGAAUGAAAUAUGCAAUACAAUUGUCCCUUUUCAAAAUAGCAAUACCAUUUUUAGUUUUGACACCCACUUCGAAUCAAACCAAAAGCAAGACAAAAGCGCUUUAAGCAAGGGUCAUGAGUUGUGAUUUUUAAAGUCCCAUUUGUAGGGACCCCUCCCCUUGGGAAACACGUGGCACGCAGCUCAUGGUGACGCGUGGCACGUGCUAUCAGCCGGACCAUCAUCAUCCGGAUUCUCCUAAAGAUAUGCAUGGUGCGGCUAUCCUAUCCGGAACCCCUCAAGGAAAGGCAAACGACGUUUCAGCUUCUCCUAUCCAAGGAAGAGCAAACGACGCUGGCAAAGCGUAGGCACCCGGAUAGUCUCCACAACACAUCCGGAUAAUCAGCAUGAUUCAUCCGGAUAUAAAUCGUCUGGAUGGUCAAUUAAAGUAAAGCGAGUCUUACACGCAAUCACAACAAGCAGCCAUGGCCCACAUCCCAUCACCUGCAGAAUGAGAAGACAAGAGGAAGUGACAGCAAGUCACUUCCCACGAUCAUUCUACAUAAUCACUUCCCACGAUCUCUGACAGCCGCAUCACCUACCAUGGUCUCUGACAGCCAUUCGUAGGAUGAUAGUGCUCCUACUAACACCUAUUGUCAUCAUCACAACAGAAAAUAUCUCCUCACCAUUAAUGAGAGGAACAGUACCCCUGAAGCUGUAUAUAUAUGACUUCACACGAAGAAGAAAGGGAUGAUGAUCUCCUGGUAACCUCNNNNNNNNNNNNNNNNNNNNNNNNNNNNNNNNNNNNNNNNNNNNNNNNNNNNNNNNNNNNNNNNNNNNNNNNNNNNNNNNNNNNNNNNNNNNNNNNNNNNUGAUUUGAUUCUAAUCAAAUGCAAAGUUAUAUUUGGGCAUUAGUAGACUAGAUUUGCUUCUUACUCAUGGAUGGAUGGGGCUUUCUCCCUUGUCAAAUAAGGAAUCUAGAAAUUGUUCUUGAAAAAUAAAAACUAUUAUAGAAUGUUUUUACCCAUUUGCCCAUGCCCACUCAUCACUUCGUUCUCUCUCAAACACCCCAAACUACCACUGAACACCAAGUGUUUGUGUUAAUGCCUGACCAGGGAAAACUGUUUUAUGAUUGGAUGCAAAAUGGUGCUUGUAGGGACCCCUCCCCUUGGGAAACACGUGGCACGCAGCUCAUGGUGACGCGUGGCACGUGCUAUCAGCCGGACCAUCAUCAUCCGGAUUCUCCUAAAGAUAUGCAUGGUGCGGCUAUCCUAUCCGGAACCCCUCAAGGAAAGGCAAACGACGUUUCAGCUUCUCCUAUCCAAGGAAGAGCAAACGACGCUGGCAAAGCGUAGGCACCCGGAUAGUCUCCACAACACAUCCGGAUAAUCAGCAUGAUUCAUCCGGAUAUAAAUCGUCUGGAUGGUCAAUUAAAGUAAAGCGAGUCUUACACGCAAUCACAACAAGCAGCCAUGGCCCACAUCCCAUCACCUGCAGAAUGAGAAGACAAGAGGAAGUGACAGCAAGUCACUUCCCACGAUCAUUCUACAUAAUCACUUCCCACGAUCUCUGACAGCCGCAUCACCUACCAUGGUCUCUGACAGCCAUUCGUAGGAUGAUAGUGCUCCUACUAACACCUAUUGUCAUCAUCACAACAGAAAAUAUCUCCUCACCAUUAAUGAGAGGAACAGUACCCCUGAAGCUGUAUAUAUAUGACUUCACACGAAGAAGAAAGGGAUGAUGAUCUCCUGGUAACCUCUUGAUACCUAGUAAAAGGCCAACUGCCUCAUAUAUCUUAUUCUCUUACCAUGGCUAACAACAUCAUCGGAGGGUGCAUCCGGACACCCUGUCCGGAUGCCUUUUUGCAGGUACAACCACUGAAUCAAGAACCCCUUGUGUGUUGAGAAUCGCGUGUCCAUCCAUCUAGCAGCAACGCGGCCCACAUGAUACGCGAGGUGACAACAUUGGCGCCGUCUGUGGGAAAAUUUUACUUUUUAUUUUGAUUCAGUCACUAGCAAAGAUGGCCACACCUUCCCAAAGUCGAUCAUCUGGUAGAGAGGAAGAAGAUAAUCACGAAUGGCGUCAAGCCAUCGAAAAAAGACAGUUGGCGAGCGAAAAACAGCUAAGAGCUCUCCUCCAGGAGACGGAGAGGUUAAGGGAAGAAAACGCUGUGUUACGCAUUCAAGCCUCAACAUCAGGACCUCCUCGUCGUCAGCGCUCAAAAGGUCAAGUGGCAAACUCAAGGCCAGAGCCAGAAUCAAUAUAUCCUGGGUCAACAGGAGUUGUCCCAGGAACAUACAACGCAAGGCCCCAUGAGCCACGCACACCCAUGCCUCGAGCUCCCCGUGAGGAAAGCUCAGAUUCCACUCAUUUCUCAGCAAAAAGACAACGUGAUAGAAAAUCACAGUUGUCAAGUUCUAUGCGCGCAAGACUAGGCUCACAAGAGCCUGGGAGAUCAAGGCCACCAGUAGCCACAACUCGGGCGCCACACCCCGAUCCUAUGAUUGCUCCCAUGGUGCAGAACGUACCUCCUCAUCGUGACCCCAUGGUCACCCCAGCGAUGCGGAACGUUCACUCACACCUAGCGGAACGACCAGCUGGGAGAAACCUCCCAAACGAGCCACCCAUUGGCUCCAUCAGCAAAAGGCUGGAUGACAUGCUCUCCACGCCCUUUUGCUCUCAUAUCACCCAUUACGAGCCCCCAAGAGGAUUUCUCGUACCAAAGUUUUCCACAUACGAUGGGACCAACGAUCCCUUCGAUCACAUCAUGCACUAUCGACAGCUUAUGACGCUCGAUAUUGGCAACGAUGCAUUAUUAUGCAAAGUAUUCCCUGCCAGCCUUCAAGGGCAGGCCCUCUCAUGGUUUCAUCGCCUACCUCCUAACUCUGUUGACAAUUUCAGGGACCUCUCUGAAGCAUUCGUGGGACAGUACUUAUGCUCUGCUCGACACAAGCAGAAUAUCAGCACCCUCUAGAACAUAAAAAUGAAAGACAACGAAUCCUUGAGGGAAUUUGUGAAACGAUUUGGCCAAGCCGUACUCCAAAUAGAGGUUUGCAGCAUGGACGCUGUCCUACAGAUCUUCAAAAGAAGCAUCUGUCCAGGCACCCCAUUUUUCGAAUCGCUGGCAAAAAAACCUCCUACAACGAUGGACGAUUUGUUCAGACGCGCUAACAAAUAUUCAAUGCUCGAAGAUGACGUACGUGCAGCCACUCAGCAAGUUUUGGUUGCCGGACGGGCCUCUAGAGAUAACGUGGACAGACAUGCCAAACCUCCGGACCGGCCAAAACCAGUUGACCGGAGGCAGGACGGGCCGAGUCGUCCGGAUAGGCCGUCCAUCACACCCCUAUCCAUAUCAUACGAAAAACUUCUCCCAAUGAUCCAAGGGUUGUCCGACUUCAGGUGGCCUAGACCCCUCGAAACGGACCCAUCUAUAAGAGACCGCAGCAAGAAAAUGCGCCUUCCACAAAGACCAUGGUCAUACAACAGAGACAUGUCGGUCCCUCCAGUAUCUAGUUGAAAGGCUCAUCAAAGCAGGACAUUUNNNNNNNNNNNNNNNNNNNNNNNNNNNNNNNNNNNNNNNNNNNNNNNNNNNNNNNNNNNNNNNNNNNNNNNNNNNNNNNNNNNNNNNNNNNNNNNNNNNNCCACGCCCUUUUGCUUUCAUAUCACCCAUUACGAGCCCCCAGAGGAUUUCUCGUACCAAAGUUUUCCACAUACGAUGGGACCAACGAUCCCUUCGAUCACAUCAUGCACUAUCGACAGCUUAUGACGCUCGAUAUUGGCAACGAUGCAUUAUUAUGCAAAGUAUUCCCUGCCAGCCUUCAAGGGCAGGCCCUCUCAUGGUUUCAUCGCCUACCUCCUAACUCUGUUGACAAUUUCAGGGACCUCUCUGAAGCAUUCGUGGGACAGUACUUAUGCUCUGCUCGACACAAGCAGAAUAUCAGCACCCUCUAGAACAUAAAAAUGAAAGACAACGAAUCCUUGAGGGAAUUUGUGAAACGAUUUGGCCAAGCCGUACUCCAAAUAGAGGUUUGCAGCAUGGACGCUGUCCUACAGAUCUUCAAAAGAAGCAUCUGUCCAGGCACCCCAUUUUUCGAAUCGCUGGCAAAAAAACCUCCUACAACGAUGGACGAUUUGUUCAGACGCACUAACAAAUAUUCAAUGCUCGAAGAUGACGUACGUGCAGCCACUCAGCAAGUUUUGGUUGCCGGACGGGCCUCUAGAGAUAACGUGGACAGACAUGCCAAACCUCCGGACCGGCCAAAACCAGUUGACCGGAGGCAGGACGGGCCGAGUCGUCCGGAUAGGCCAUCCAUCACACCCCUAUCCAUAUCAUACGAAAAACUUCUCCCAAUGAUCCAAGGGUUGUCCGACUUCAGGUGGCCUAGACCCCUCGAAACGGACCCAUCUAUAAGAGACCGCAGCAAGAAAUGCGCCUUCCACAAAGACCAUGGUCAUACAACAGAGACAUGUCGGUCCCUCCAGUAUCUAGUUAAAAGGCUCAUCAAAGCAGGACAUUUAAAACAGUACCUCCGCUCAGAUACUGGAGGAAGGGACGCAUCACAGCAUCAUAACUCUGGGGCCCCGAGGGCCCCAGUCGCCCCUAAGGUUGUCAUAAACUAUAUCAACGGGGCCCAUCUGACGAGGAAUACGAUUCCAGGCGGAAAAGACAGAAAUUGCUGUGAGCCGCGUCAAUACGCGAACGCAUUAAUUCCAUCCGGCCGGGUCUUACUGGGGAGGGCCCUCGCCCCAUUGAUGGGACAAUCAUUUUCCCACCAGUAGAUCCCACCCGAACGCUACAGCCACAUCGCGACGCCCUCAUCCUCUCUCUAGAAAUAGGAGAUUUUGAUGUAAGACGUAUCUUGGUUGAUCCAGGCAGUUCAGCCGAUCUAGUACAAGCAUCAGUCAUUGGCCAUAUGGGACAUAGUCUCGCGGGUCUCGAAAACCCCGGACGAAUCUUAUCCGGAUUCAACGGAUCAUCAACAACAUCCUUAGGAGACAUUAUACUGUCGGUUCGAGCUGGACCAGUCACUCUCAACGUGCAAUUCUCGGUGGUACAAGAGUUGUCACCCUUCAAUGUCAUCUUGGGACGCACAUGGGCUUCACUACAUGAAAGUCAUCCNNNNNNNNNNNNNNNNNNNNNNNNNNNNNNNNNNNNNNNNNNNNNNNNNNNNNNNNNNNNNNNNNNNNNNNNNNNNNNNNNNNNNNNNNNNNNNNNNNNNNNNNNNNNNNNNNNNNNNNNNNNNNNNNNNNNNNNNNNNNNNNNNNNNNNNNNNNNNNNNNNNNNNNNNNNNNNNNNNNNNNNNNNNNNNNNNNNNNNNNNNNNNNNNNNNNNNNNNNNNNNNNNNNNNNNNNNNNNNNNNNNNNNNNNNNNNNNNNNNNNNNNNNNNNNNNNNNNNNNNNNNNNNNNNNNNNNNNNNNNNNNNNNNNNNNNNNNNNNNNNNNNNNNNNNNNNNNNNNNNNNNNNNNNNNNNNNNNNNNNNNNNNNNNNNNNNNNNNNNNNNNNNNNNNNNNNNNNNNNNNNNNNNNNNNNNNNNNNNNNNNNNNNNNNNNNNNNNNNNNNNNNNNNNNNNNNNNNNNNNNNNNNNNNNNNNNNNNNNNNNNNNNNNNNNNNNNNNNNNNNNNNNNNNNNNNNNNNNNNNNNNNNNNNNNNNNNNNNNNNNNNNNNNNNNNNNNNNNNNNNNNNNNNNNNNNNNNNNNNNNNNNNNNNNNNNNNNNNNNNNNNNNNNNNNNNNNNNNNNNNNNNNNNNNNNNNNNNNNNNNNNNNNNNNNNNNNNNNNNNNNNNNNNNNNNNNNNNNNNNNNNNNNNNNNNNNNNNNNNNNNNNNNNNNNNNNNNNNNNNNNNNNNNNNNNNNNNNNNNNNNNNNNNNNNNNNNNNNNNNNNNNNNNNNNNNNNNNNNNNNNNNNNNNNNNNNNNNNNNNNNNNNNNNNNNNNNNNNNNNNNNNNNNNNNNNNNNNNNNNNNNNNNNNNNNNNNNNNNNNNNNNNNNNNNNNNNNNNNNNNNNNNNNNNNNNNNNNNNNNNNNNNNNNNNNNNNNNNNNNNNNNNNNNNNNNNNNNNNNNNNNNNNNNNNNNNNNNNNNNNNNNNNNNNNNNNNNNNNNNNNNNNNNNNNNNNNNNNNNNNNNNNNNNNNNNNNNNNNNNNNNNNNNNNAAAAGCUCCGCCCUAUUUUCAAGGCCCACCCAGUGAUUGUACUGACCGAUCAACCCUUCGCAGCAUUCUACACAAACCAGAUUUAACUGGGCGAAUGCUACAGUGGGCCAUCGAAUUGAGCGAAUUUGGAAUCGAAUUCCAACCCAGAUUAUCCAAAAAAGGCCAAGUAAUGGCCGACUUUGUGCUCGAAUAUUCACGAAGACCCAACCAGCACCACGAAUCAAGUGAACAGGAGUGGUGGACACUACGAGUUGACGGCGCCUCGCGCUCAUCAGGCUCUGGAGUUGGGCUCGUAUUACAGUCCCCAACUGGGGAACAUCUGGAGCAAGCCAUCCGGCUGGGAUUCUCUGCGUCUAACAAUGAGGCAGAAUACGAGGCCAUCCUGUCCGGAUUGGACCUCGCCCUUGCUCUAUCCGUCUCCAAACUCCUGAUCUACAGCGACUCACAACUAGUGGUAAGGCACAUCCAGAAAGAAUAUGAGGCUAAGGACUCACGCAUGGCGCGAUACUUGGCCAAAGUAAGAAGCACCUUACAGCAAUUCACCGAGUGGACAAUCGAAAAAAUUAAGCGAGCUGACAAUAGGCACGCUGACGCUUUGGCCGACAUAGCUGCCUCUCUACCUAUCAAAGAAGCCAUUCUAUUGCCCAUAUAUGUGCAAGCCAAUCCCUCUGUCGCAGAAAAUUCCACUUGCAACACCAUUGAGGCAACCCAAACGGAUAAUCAGGAAUGGACGCAGGAUAUUGCAGAAUAUAUCCGGACAGGCACUUUACCCAAAGAUCUUAAACAAGCACACAAAAUCCGGGUGCAGGCUGCCCGCUUCACCCUGAUCGGGGGACACCUGUACAAGCGAUCUUUCACAGGGCCUUAUCUUCGCUGUCUUGGGCAUACAGAGGCCCAGUAUGUGCUAGCUGAAUUACAUGAAGGAAUAUGCGGAAAUCAUACGGGAGGACGAUCCCUAGCACAUAGAGCUCAUUCACAAGGAUACUAUUGGCCAACAAUGAAGAAAGACGCGGCAGCAUAUGUCCAAAAGUGUGAUAAAUGUCAAAGAUACGCCCCCAUUCCACAUGUGCCAUCAGCAGCAUUGAAAUCGGUCUCAAGCCCAUGGCCUUUCGCGCAGUGGGGCAUGGACAUAGUGGGACCCCUCCCAGCAGCACCUGCCCAAAAGAAAUUCCUUCUUGUCGCCACUGAUUACUUCAGUAAAUGGGUAGAAGCUGAAGCAUAUGCAAGCAUCAAAGAUAAAGAUGUCACCAAAUUCGUAUGGAAGAACAUUGUUUGCCGCUUUGGAAUUCCCCAAAUCAUCAUAGCUGACAAUGGUCCACAAUUUGACAGCAUUGCAUUCAGGAAUUUCUGUUCGGAAUUGAAUAUCCGGAAUUCAUACUCCACGCCACGUUAUCCUCAAAGCAAUGGCCAGGCGGAAGCCACAAACAAAACUUUAAUCAAUGCCUUGAAGAAAAGGCUGGAGCAAGCCAAAGGAAAGUGGGUGGAGGAGCUACCCGGCGUCCUAUGGGCCUAUCGAACCACACCCGGACGACCAACAGGAAAUACCCCUUUUGCCCUCACAUAUGGAAUGGAUGCGGUCAUUCCCACUUAAAUAGGUCUCCCUACUAUCCGGACUGAUGCAGCAAAGCAAAAAGACGCCAACACGGAACUAGGAAGAAAUUUGGACUGGGCAGACGAAGUCAGAGAAAGCGCAUCCAUCCGGAUGGCAGAUUAUCAACAAAGAGCAUCAGCGCAUUACAAUCGAAAAGUCAGGCCCAGAAACUUCAAAAAUGGUACGCUAGUACUUAGAAAAGUUUUUGAAAAUACUGCUGAAGUAGGCGCAGGAAAAUUCCAAGCCAAUUGGGAAGGACCCUACAUAGUGACUAAGGCAAAUGAAAAUGGAGCCUAUCAUUUACAAAAGCUAGAUGGCACUCCGUUACUCAGACCAUGGAAUGUGUUCAAUUUAAAGCAGUAUUAUCAGUAGAAAGUGUACACGAGUGCAAAUGAGAAAGAAGUAAGUUUUAUUGAUAUGAGUAAAUGUAAUUACAAAGAGACAUCCGGACCACAAAAAUAUACAGAAGGAAAAAUUACAGCAGAAAAAUUGCAAAAAGAGAUAAACUAUCAGGGAGCAGGUUUCUCAUGGAGCUUCUUUUCUUCACUUGGAGGAAUUGAAGGAGUAUCUCGCUUUAUACCGUUCUUCUUCAUGCAGCAGCGAUACCCAAAGAUAAAUGUAUCAUCCACUUGUUUCUGGUAAUCCGCUGCAAGUUCCUCCCUUUCCACAGCAAACUCCCGUUCAAGUUCCUCUUUUUGCACAUCCAGACGCAGCUGCAAGUCUUCCUUCUGUUUCUUUUCAUUCAAAACCUCUGUCCGGAGUCGACUCAAUUCAUCCCUUAGCCGGGCUGCCUCACCCUCCGCCUCAUGAAGGCGGCCCGCAGUUGAUUCUUCUCGACCCUUUGCCUCAGCCAACUCCACCCGGAGGGCUUCAUUUUCCUCUCGCAGGGUGGAUAGACUGGCCUCAGCCUCCUCCGUUCUCAGACGCAGUUGAUUUUCAAUCUCUUGGUGCCGAGAGGAGAAGGUCCUCAUAUAGUCUGCAGUCUGCAGCAGCUGAGUAAAAAGAUCGUGUUGUUGAGACAUGCUGCGGAGGCCCCUCACCAGCUGACACACAAACAAGAAAAGCAAAGACAUAAAUCAUACUACAACAAACACAUCAGUACAACGAAAAAUCAAAAAGCAAAAACACAAGACAACGAUAUACCGUUUCUAUCAUAUCAAACAUCUGAGCAGAGGGCUUGAUGGCUUUCCAGUCGGGAGUAAUCUGCUUUAACUUAACUUCCAACUCCGCGUAGCUGAAAGGGCUAGCGGGAGCGGCAUCGUCAGUAGGUUCCUCCUCAGGUGAGGAAGCAGAGGGUAACUCUUGUCCCGGAAUCGGAGCCCCCAUAUCUUCGUCCGGACACAUAGGUCCGGAUGCAUCCUCAGCCGGAAUUAUUUCCGGGGCGGCUGAGGUCUCAGUAGCCAUCUCCACCUCGCCUCCAUCCGGAUGAGCGUCAUGGGCAGAAACGCAGCUAAUUUCAAUCUCUUGCUGCCGCUCUUGAAGCCGCUCAAAGAGUCCGGACUGUAGAUCGCGUGUCAAACGCGGCUUCUUGAGGGGAGACCCUUUCACCAGGACUAUAGCCAGGCGAUCCGGGUCGUCGGAAGGCUGACUUUGGCUUUCUGCUCCCGCUUCCUCCAACGGGGCCGUUUCAGCUGCAUCAGCAUCCGGAUUAAGGUUGCCCGGACGGUUGAUAGAUGCAGCUUCCUCAGCCACGUUAGCCAGACGCGCAGCCGCGACCAAGGAAGGACCUGAGUGAUUCAACCCCGACAUGCGUCCGGGGCCGCUUGAGAUAGAGUGCGGAGCAGCAUUUACUGGCUCCUCUAUCAUUACUUCCCCCUCAUAGGUAGUUUGGGGGGGAGGAAACUCCUUGGGAGGAGUGGGUUCCUUCAUGUCCUUCUCAUGCUUCUUUACCAGCUUUCCCCUUUUUCCUGAAGUUUUCUUUGGAGGAGAGUCCGGACCCCGCUUCUGUCCGGGAGCCUUCCGGAUAGUGCCUUCAGUUUUUUUCUGAUCUCUAUCCUCCAGGAGCUUUCGCCGCCUUUCAGCGUCAGCCUCUUUGGCUUCCUGAUAGAGGGGGAGCUCCUUCACAGUAUAAUGCUCCCCAGGCACUAUCUCAUCCUUUGCCAGUUUCCUGGGAAGAAUAUUGAUAACAUAUUCCUGGGGCUCCCGGACGACCUCCGUCAAAUUCCGCGCGGAAAGCAAUGUUUUGUAGGCCCUCUCCUUGGGGUCUAUUUCAAAUAAUUUGCAGACGCAGGCAAAGGACGCCUUUUCCACCCAAUCCACAAGGUGGCCCCUCAAUUCCAAACCUGCAUUAUCAGCAACAAAAGGUGAGAAUUCUGUCCGGAAAAAUCAGGAAAAAUCAGCAAAGCAAAAUCCGGAUAAAAAAUCGCAAAACAAGAUUACCCGGCAUUUUUAAGGUAUAAUUCGGAGAAAAAGGCCUCGACGGAUGCUGCGAUAGCCCCGCCCAUCCACCCCAGACUGCCACCAGCCCCUUCGCCCCUCCCUUUGUCGAAUCUGGCAGUUCUGUCACCAUUUGAAGGGAGGGCAGGUGAGCGGACACACUGAAGAUAUCAUUCUUUGCUUUCUUCAGGGAAUAGACAAAGAACAAUUCCAGUAGCGUAAGGUCGAGGCUGUACAGCAUGUUGAUAAUGCUGCAUCCCAUCAGCACCCGGACAAGGUUGGGAUGAAUGAAGAUGGGUGGAAUCUGAGAGAAGUGGAGGAAUUCCUUGAACAAGGCUGGCAGAGGGAACCGGAGCCCCGCGUUGAAUUGUUCCUUUGUGAAGAGGAUAGCGUUUUUUCCACCUUUCUCAGUAGGAAUAGUCGCCUCCUCGUUCACCAGGUCUAUCAAUACGUCAUGGGGGAUGCGGAAUCGCUCCCGGAACUCCUUCGCAUUUAGUUUAUCUAUCGCCUUUUCGCCAGCCUCGCUGACCCGGACAGACGAAACAGUCUUUUUUGGAGCCAUUUCUUACCACAAAGCCAAAGCAAAAUCUACACGCAAAAACAAUGCAAACGGUUCAGACCAAGCAAUCAGAAAAUACACAAACUCAAAGCAGUCAGAAAAACCCCUCAAAAACCCCUCCAAACAAACAACAAAGUACCAACAUUAAACAAACAAUUGCAAGCGACUUGUUCAAAACAAAGCCAGGAACCAAGUUUAAAGAACCGGCAAACGCAACCAAAGGAAUGACAAUAGCAAAGAGGUACGUACCAAAUAGAGCUCUGGAGAAGAAGAACGGUUACUCUCUCGGUAUAAAAUCACCGGCAACAAACAAACGAGGUCGUUCGAAGUUUUUCUCAGAAAAGCAAAGGACGGAGAAAAAGUAAGAAGAAGGAAGGCUCUCAAGAGAAUGCAGUAGAAAAAAUACAAAAGAGGUACAGUGCCCUAUUUAUAGCAGGACAGCCCCUCGGAAAGCCAAACCAACAGCCGUGUUAUCAUUGAAACGACAUAUUGCCUGGGGAUACACAGGGUCGGCGGCUCGCCAUAAAUGCCUUUUUUGGCUUCCGCACCCCCACUCGCCACGUGGCCAAGUUAGACGAAUGGACUUUUUCAAUUUUCAAAAACCCAGUUAUUUUUAACCCGCCCAUUUUUUGGCAAAAUAGGCAAGUUAAAAAGGAGGGCAAUGUAGGGACCCCUCCCCUUGGGAAACACGUGGCACGCAGCUCAUGGUGACGCGUGGCACGUGCUAUCAGCCGGACCAUCAUCAUCCGGAUUCUCCUAAAGAUAUGCAUGGUGCGGCUAUCCUAUCCGGAACCCCUCAAGGAAAGGCAAACGACGUUUCAGCUUCUCCUAUCCAAGGAAGAGCAAACGACGCUGGCAGAGNNNNNNNNNNNNNNNNNNNNNNNNNNNNNNNNNNNNNNNNNNNNNNNNNNNNNNNNNNNNNNNNNNNNNNNNNNNNNNNNNNNNNNNNNNNNNNNNNNNNGCAUGAUCCAUCCGGAUAUAAAUCGUCUGGAUGGUCAAUUAAAGUAAAGCGAGUCUUACACGCAAUCACAACAAGCAGCCAUGGCCCACAUCCCAUCACCUGCAGAAUGAGAAGACAAGAGGAAGUGACAGCAAGUCACUUCCCACGAUCAUUCUACAUAAUCACUUCCCACGAUCUCUGACAGCCGCAUCACCUACCAUGGUCUCUGACAGCCAUUCGUAGGAUGAUAGUGCUCCUACUAACACCUAUUGUCAUCAUCACAACAGAAAAUAUCUCCUCACCAUUAAUGAGAGGAACAGUACCCCUGAAGCUGUAUAUAUAUGACUUCACACGAAGAAGAAAGGGAUGAUGAUCUCCUGGUAACCUCUUGAUACCUAGUAAAAGGCCAACUGCCUCAUAUAUCUUAUUCUCUUACCAUGGCUAACAACAUCAUCGGAGGGUGCAUCCGGACACCCUGUCCGGAUGCCUUUUUGCAGGUACAACCACUGAAUCAAGAACCCCUUGUGUGUUGAGAAUCGCGUGUCCAUCCAUCUAGCAGCAACGCGGCCCACAUGAUACGCGAGGUGACAACACCAUUGGUGUCAUCUUGGCAUCUUGACCUAACCCACCUUUCAUAUUAUAGCUAUCUUGAAGCUCUUUCAAGGUAUUUUUGCCAAAGGAUGGCAACUACCUAACAUUUCUAGUAGGGUUCAAAUAAAAAUGAAGUUUUUCCAUUGGAUUUUGACCUACCACUUUAUUAGUUUUAGAUUGCGUUUUACUUCGAGUAUUUUCAGUGAAAAUAUUUUCUUUAAAAGUGUUUUCAAAAGAAUCACAAAAUAUUAACUUCGACUUCAUUUUAAUUAACCAAAACAGAAAAUUAUCACAAACAAGACCAUAAUAUAAGUUUUUUUUUAAAUAAUUAUCAAAGAUAUAUUUUGUAUUUAUAUUUAAAGAUUAAUUAAUUAUCCAUAAAAUUACUUCUAAUAAAAUUAAUAUUAACAUAAAUACUACAAGUUAAAAAUACUAUUAUCAUAUUUGCUCAUAAUUGAAAUCAAAUUAUUUAUAAAAAAAACAAAUACUUUUUAUUACAUAUUUAGGUAAAUUCAUACAUAUUUAAAUUUUUAAAAAAAUAAGGAAGAAGAAGAAGAAAUAUCUCCUAUAUGUCAUUUAAAAAUAAUUUUUAAAUGGACUAACGGAUAAAUAUUUUUUAAGUAUAGAAAAAAUACUAUGAUUUUCCUUAGAUAUAUUAUCCAUAUAUUAUCAUUUUAUGUGUUUUUAUUGGUUUCAUGUGAGAACUAAUUGAUAUUGAAUGAAAGGAGAUCAAAUCUUUAAUGUCAUUUUAUACUUGUUCCAAAAAAUCUCAUUUUAGUGAUCUAAUGAUUCAUUUUUAUUCUUAUACAUAAUGCCCGAUCUAAAUCUAAUAAACUCUUCUUAUAUUGAAACAAGUUUUUAAAGAUCCCACUAAGAACACAAGCCUGGACAGCUAUUUUCGAGAACCACAUUUAACAAUUAGAAACUGUAUUUUAUUUUAUAUUCUUAAAAAUAGAAAAUAAGAUACUUUCAAAAAAACAUUUUUUACUUGUUUUUUUAUGACAAGUUUAAAAAAAUAUUCAUAUAAAUAUAUAGAAUAAUUAAAAAUAAGACACUAUAUAUAAAAAUUAUUUUUAAAAUAUAUUUAAUAUUAUUAAAAAUAAUUUAAAAACAUUCCAAAUUUUCACACAGAAUUUUGUUCAAUCAAACAUUAGAAAAUGAUUUUUAGUAAGGGUUGUAAAAAAUUGUUUUUAAAAAAAAUAGUCCUCAAACAAAGGAAAUAAUUUAUUUUUUUUCCUAUUAGAGUUGAAAUAUCACUGCCUGAACUUAAAAGGAUAUCAUUUCUGCUGGCACACAAUCUUUUCAACUAUGAAGAUACGAUCACGAUUUGGGGCACUAGACUAAGUCCAAGUACGUCCUUCCUCUUUAUGCGUGCCUUUUUUUCUUUGUCUUAGACAACGACAAUAAUUUGUAUCAGCACGGAAAUGGUGAAUUCCUUGGUUGAUGACUGACCCACGUCUAAUUCUUUGUUUGGAAGGAUGCUCCAUAAGUCAGACUCUAGCGUUUCGAGACAAGGCAAGCGCCACGAUCACACUACAAUGUAGUACAAUUAUAUUGCAAUUCCCAACUAUCAGUCCUUUAUGUCCUAAGCCACUUUGACUAGUUGCUUGUGUACAACAAAAUUUGGAUGAUUUAUGCACCACUUUGACUUUUUGUAAAAGCCACUUUGACUAGUCGGAUCUGUACAAUAAAAUUUGGAUGAUUUAUGCAACUUGGUAACCUAUUGAUGCCGAUAUUACAUUUUUGGAUAAGUGAAAUAAAAUAUUCGAUAAAACAAUAAAACUUUGGCUUUUUUUAGGGUUGGGAAGAUAAGUGAUCCAAACACCUCUACAUGGUCUCUACGUGGUGUCCUCUUUACCAAGUUAUACAGUCUUAAAAGGUGUUUGUUUUUUGAUUGAAUAAAAAAAAUCAAAAUAUUUAAUUUUUUCUAUUCAAUUAAAAAUAAUAUGUUGACAUCAUUCAACAUAACUAAACUGAACCUAUUGAUAAUAAGUUCAUUUUAACUAGAUUGGAUGAUAUCAACAAAUUAUUUUUAACUGAAUAGAAAAAGUCAAAUAUUUUAAUUUUUUCUAUUCAGUAAAAAAAACAAAUAAUAUUAAAUUUCCAAUCAAAAGUCAUGUGGAGCCCACAAGUCAGUGAAGAGGAUAUUGGACUGGUUGUUCGGAGUUUGGGUUAAGAAUAACCCCCUUCACCAAACAAAUGUGGAUAUUUAUUGACCCUCUUUUGAAUGUUUGUUCAAAAUGGUUUCUUUCUCUCUUAUUCUUCAUCUUUUAUGAUUAUUAUUUUUAAUUAUUUUUUUAAAAGUUAUUUGAAAAAAAAAAAUUGAAGAUGGAGGUGUGGGACUUGGUGGGGCAACCGUGGGCAUCGUCAGGAAGGUCCAGCCAUGAGCGACACCAACGGCAUGACGUCGCUGGCCGACAGUGAGUAGCAGCAGGAGUCGGAGGAAAAGAAAAAUGGGUAUGGGUGUAGGAUGGAGAGAGAGAGAGAGGAGAAAGGGGGUGCCGCCGGUCGAAGAAGGGGGCGACGUCGCCCGCGAUGGGUGUGCAGGUGGAAGGAGAAGGAAGAAAUGCAAUUUCAAUUUUAUUUUUUUAUUUUUAAAUAAGAAGAAGGUUAGUUAGAAGUUAGAACACUAGUUUCAACACUGGCCUUAGAUUCUUUGUUUGGGUCAAAGUAGCUGUUUGAGUCUUAUUAUAAGAAAAAAAAAUGCAUCUUUUUGCCCCAAACAGUUGGUUCAUAUUUGGUACGUUCCAUAUACAAUUGAAUAAUAUAAAAGAGGGUAGAUCAUAAGGGUGAAAAAGUUUGAUAUGAUUUAUUAAUAUGACUUAAAUUCAACAUAUUUGUGGAGGGUUUAGAUUGAAUAUAAUUAGAUUUAAGUCAAAUUUAUGUCAAUCUGAAUAAAUAAAUUAUUUUUUGAUCAAUAUGCAUAACACGACUUUGAACUGAAUUAACCCAUUUAACAAUUUUAUUGAUUAACUCAAUUAUAACAACUUUAAACUAUUUAACUAAUAAUUGAUUUAUUUUAAAUAAAUAGAUCAAUUGAAUCAUAAGUAUAUUUGGUUGAAACAUUAAUCAUAUAAACUCAUAAAACUCAACCCGAUAAAUUAAAUAAGAUGACUUAAUUAUUAAAUGGGUUACAAAUGUUACUUGUUUAAUAAAUAGAUGGUAUUUGAGUUCAUAUUUAUUAUUCCACCAUUAUUCGUGUUGGGCUUUGGUUAACCUAUAUAGUAGAAUCUCUAAACUUUAACACAACCCAAAUUGUCACAUCUAGGAUAUUAUAUCUUAUUUUAUAUUUGAUGGUGAUAAGAUAUGAUAAGUUAUUAUCACUCAUCUAAUCACAUGUUCAACAAAGCAUGGGAUAUUAUUACUUAUAAAAUUUAAUGUUUAUCCUCUUUUUUAUAUUCAUUCUACAUGGAAUAUGUUAAUUUUGUGUUAAAAUGUACAAUAUAUAUAUCUCAUAUAUCAUAAAUUUAUAUUUUUUUAUCAAUUUUUUUUUAUAUUACUUCUUUUGCAAAAAAAUAUUAUUAUUAUUAUUAUUAUUAAAAUUUUGGUUAAAAACUAAUAUAUAUAUAUAUAUAUAUAUAUUUAUAAAAUAAUAUUAAUGUUUAUUAUUUUAUAUAUAUUAUUUUUAUAUAUUGAAUAACAUAACAUAAAAAAAUUAUUUAUAAAGUUUAAAUAUUUUAAUUAUGAAUAUUAUUAAAUAUAAGAGAAAUUUUCUUUUUAAAAUAAAAAGUAUUGGAAUGUAAUAUAAUUUUUAUUUUAAAUAUUAAAAAAAUUAUAUAUAUAUAUAUAUAUAUAUAUAUAUUUUUAUUUCACAAAUUAAAUAUAAAUAUAUAUAAGAGAAUAAAGAGGCAAAGAAAAUCAUUGUGUUUUUGUGAUGUCAUCUAUAUAUAGAUUCACCUUCAAUAUGAUUGUACGAUUUAUUAUUUUGGAAUGCUAUGAAAAAAGUUUUAUUUUUUAUUUAGAAAAAAAAAAGUUUUCUUAAGAUACCUUAAUUUCCUUUGAGUAUUUCCUUAAUUUCUUUAAUUCUAUUUUACCUUUUUUUUAGCUUUCUCUUACUUUCUAUUUUGUUUUACUUUCCGGAUCUACUUAAGAUACCUUAAGUUAUAUUUGGUUCCUAAAAAAUUUAAAGGAAAAUAUAAAAAUAAAUAAAUAAAUAAAGAGAAAAAAUAGAAUUAAAGAAAAAGUAAAGAAAAAAAAAUAAAAAAAAAAUCGAAAGUCAAUAAAUUAUUUUUAAAUGCUUAGAAUUUGUUUAACAAUAAUUUUUUAUAGUUUUUUUAAUACUUAAAUAAUAAUUAAAAAUUUAAAUAUUAGAAAGAUUAUAAACGCUUCCUAUAAUUACUACCAAAUGAGCUCAUAUUCAAACUCAUUUUACUUACUUUCCUCUAUUAUAUAAAAAUUAAAUAAUUUUAAAAUACAUAAACUCUUAAUUAAUUUUAAUUAUAUUUAAUUUUUUAUUUGCUAUUUUCUAACGUGAAACCAAAUAUAAGAAAAACAUUUUUCUUCUUUCCAAAUACUUUCCAGGAACCGAACACAACCUUAGAGUCCCACGAGGCUAAUCUCGUAUGAUUAGAAGUAAAAAAAGAUAUAUAAAAAAAUAAAAAACAAAACAAAAUGAAACUUAUUUAUUUUCCUUAAUAAAUUGAAAUCCCAUACAAUAUUUUUUCCUUCACUUUAACUUUAAGCUUAUUCAACACUUCUGACCUAUGAUUUUAGGCCCAGCCCAGUCACACCCACAUCCCCAUUUUCAAAAUUGUAGACCCAAGUUAAAGGUUUUGUAACAAUAAUGGGCCCAACAUUGGGUCCUAAAAGCCCAUCUAUCAAACCAUUAUUUUGAAGGACCCUCUGGGCUCAAAGCCCAUGCCACAAAACCACGAACCAAGAGGCCAACCAGCUCUCUUCAAUUCCUUUUAGCUUUAUAUUUGUAAGCCCGGUUCCCCACUAAAAUGACCACCUUUUUUUUAUCAAUUUCAUAUAUAUAUAUAUAUCUAUCUUUUUAACCAAAAUUUUAAAUUUCUUUCUUCUCCUUAAGCCUAUCUUACUAGAUUUUUUAUUUUCUUAUUCAACUAAGGAAGUAUUUGAUAAAACUUAAUACUUAUUACUUAAUGAUUUAAAUUGACUUUAAGUUAUAUUAUAUUUAAUUUGUUAACUUAAAACUUAUUACUUAAUUCUUACUUUAAGUAUUAAGGUUAUUUAAUAAAAUUAACUUAAAACAUAUUUUAAAUCAUCAAACUGACAUUCUUAUCGUCAUAAAUUAUAAUUAAGAUAAAAGAGCCGAAUAACAAAGAAGAUCGUGAAGAUAAUUAUAACAAACGAGGGUAAAAAGAUAAAACAAGAAUGUGUACUUAAAAAUAAAUAAUUUAUUUUUACUUAUUGGUUAAAAUUAUUUUUUACUUGGAGUCAUACCAUUAAAUUAUUUUAUCAAAUAUACUUAAUUUAUUUAAUGACUUAAAUUAAGUUAUUAAGUUAGUUUAUCAAACACCAAUUAAAAGUUAAAGUUAAAGCUAAAAUCAUGUAACAAUUUUUUACUAAAUAUAAAAUAUUUUUGUAAGAAUUAAAAAAAAUGAAUUAUUUUAAAUAUGGAAUCUCUUUAAUAUUUAUAUUAAACUCUUUUUCAAUUUUUAUUUUUUUUAAAUAUCAGGUAAAAUUCUCUUCUUAAAAUUAAAAAAUAAAAAUAAAAAUUUACCUUCUAAAAAGUCAAUCCAAACAUGAUUUUGAAAGGGGAUAUUUUCUAAAUUUAUGUUUCAUUAAACCUAUCAAUCCAAAAUUAAGAACAUCAACCAUCAUAAUCAGUCUUUGGUGCCCACACGCUUCGUUGAGACUUGAGAGGCAAACAAAAGGAAAAACCAAUAGCAAUAAUUGGGGAAAAUAUCCCAUGACAUGUGACAUUAAAAAAUUUAUAAGCCCUCUAAGAUUACUUAAAAGCAUUCCUCAAAGUAUAAUUUGCUAAUUCCCCAUCUUGUUUAAUAGUUUAUUUUUUUUUUUAAAAUGAUUAAAAUAUAAGGCUGUGUUUGAUAAUUGUUUUUCAAAACGGGUUUUUGUGUUCCCAAAAUAAAAAAUAAAAAAUAAAAACACAUAUUUAAUAAAUAAAGAACAUAAAAUAAUUUUUUAUUCUUAAAAACAAAACAUGUUUGAUGAUUAUUUUUUGGAAUAGUUUUUGGAAAAUGUUCUCUAAUUUUUGUAGAACAAAAGUUUGUUUGAAAUCUAAAAUAUCUUUAACACAUUUUUAAUAGUUUUAAAUAUGUUUUUAAAAUAAUUUUUAUAUCUAGUGUUUUAUUUUUAAGCACUUUACAUAUUUGUAUAAUUAUUUUUUAAAACAUCCAUAAAAAAAAUGAAAACAGUAAAAAAUAAUUAAAAAGUGUUAUUUAAAUAUGUUCUAUUUUAUGUUCUUAAAAAUAAAAAACAUGAAACAAUUUUUUGUUAUCAAAUAUGUUUUCUGUGUUUUAUGUUCCAAAUAAUAAAAAAUUAUUCUCAAAAACAAUUCUCAGCCCAAAAAAUAAAGUGUAUCAAUAACAAUUUUUAUUAUUUUANCAUUUCNNNNNNNNNNNNNNNNNNNNNNNNNNNNNNNNNNNNNNNNNNNNNNNNNNNNNNNNNNNNNNNNNNNNNNNNNNNNNNNNNNNNNNNNNNNNNNNNNNNNAAAACAAUUCUCAAGCCCAAAAAAUAAAGUGUUAUCAAAUAACAAUUUUUAAUUAUUUUUAAUCAUUUUCUAAUUAUUAUUUUUUUAAAUAAUUAUAUGGAGAAUAAUUAAAAAUAAAGUUAUUUAUAAAAUAUAUUUAAAAAUAUUAAAAAAUAAGUUAAAAAUAUUUCAAGUUCUUAAACAAACUUUUAUCUUACAAAACAUUCAAAACUUAUUUUUUAAAAACACUUUCCAAACAAAACCUUACAUUCUCCAUUAUACAUCACAAUAAUGCAAAUUUUUAUUAAUUUCACCCCAAAAAAAUCACUCAAUGAGGCCCAAAGAAUUGAAAGAUAACCAAGUUGAGAGACAAAUAAAUUGAAAGCAAUAGCAAUAAUUGGGGAAAAUAUCCUAUGGCAUGUGACAUUGAAAAUGAACAAGCCCUUUAAGAUUUCUUAAACUAUUCUUCAACAAAUAAAGUACAUUUUUCCACUUCCCCAUCUUAUUCAAUAAUUUAUUUUCAAAAUUUUAUUAAUAAAUACAACACUCUCCAUGUUACAUCACAAUACUACAAACUUUCAUAAAAAAUAAAAUUAAAAAUUUAUUUAUUUAUUUAUUAAAAAGUUAGGAGCUUUGUGUUAGGUGUCCAAGAGAGAUUGAUACAAUGAUUAAAACCAUUUAAUACAAUCAACCCAUGAUUAUUAGUAUAAGAGGCUCAAUCAAACUUAAACAACAUAAAGGCUAAAGCCCUUGAACUAAAUUUAAUUGCAAUGAUGUGCUCUUGAUGGAAUUGGGUUUUUUUUUGUGAAAAAAAUAAGUAUAAAAUGAAGAAUGAGAGAUACCAAUCAAACACUAUUAGAAAGGAGAAGCAUGGCCCCAAAAAAAGGGGGUUCCUCUUAUAUAAUUUUUCCACACCCAUAAGGUCACUUUCCAUUAUCUUUUGAUUCUAGUGGUCUUGUGUCUAGUGUCUACAUCUUUGGCCUCUAAGGGGGGCCAUAUUUUAGCUUGAAGCUAUCUCCCACUCUCCCACUGCCCUAUUUCUUUUGACACUUUGAGUUGGGAGAGGUGUGGCCUCUUUUUGCAACUUGUAAUUGUGGCCCACUAGGUGGGUGGCAGCAUGGCCUAUCUUGGAAUAUGAAUUUGGAUGUGGGAAAAAGGCAUUUUGGGCUUCAUAUUUUUUUAUGCAGUGGUUAAUAGUAGGGCAAAUUGGCAAAAUACCAAUCUAUUCCUUCCCCAUCUUUAUUAUACUAUUAUUUUUACUAAAAAGUGAUGGCAUGCACUUACACCGACCAUAAAAUAUCUCAACAUAUGAAAGGAAUAUUAAUGGUGAAUAUAAUAUGUGGGGUGGCCUCAUUGUUAUUUAAGUCUCAAGAUGUAAGGAUUUGUUGAAAUAAAAAAUAGAAAUAAAUAUAAAAUAAUAAAAAUAUCAUUUACUUUCGAUAUUUCAUAUAAAAGUUUAGGUGUGUUUGAUAAUUAUUUUCAAUAACAAUUCUUUAUUUUUUAUUUUUAAAAAAACAUGUUGAACAACUAAAAACUGUUUUUUAUUUUUUGUUUUUAAGGAAAAAAAAGUGUUUUAAAAGAAUAUUUUUAAAUUGUUUUAUAUUAUUUUUAUUUGUUUUUUUAUGAUUGCUUAUAGAAUUAUUAAAAAUAAAAUCAUAAACAUAAAAAUUAUUUUUUAAAUAUAUUUAAAAAUAUUAAAAAGAAGUUAAAAAUAUUUUAAUUUUUUUUAAAUAAACUUUUAUUUCAUACAACAUUACAAAACAAUUUUUAAAAAGUAUUAUCAAAAACUAUUUUUUAAAACUAUUUUAAAAAAUAGUUACUAAACAAAUCCUUAGCCACAAUGUUUUUGAAAAUGGUUGUUAAAAAUAGUUUUUAAUUAUAAACUCAAAUAUAAAAACAACUUUUUCACAUUAUUCUUCGUGAAAAUACUGCAUACUUUUAUGUAUAUAGUAUAAAAAAUUUAAAAGAUUCUUCAUAUUUUCAAUUUUUGCUUGGAAUAUUAUAAAAAAAAACAAUUAAAAAUACUUAAAAUUUCUUCUAAAAAACAAUAUGUUUCAAAACAAAUUCUUAAAAAACUAUUUUAUCUCGGAAGUUUGUCAAAUAUAUUUAUUAAAUCAUAAAAUAGUUUUUAUUUUUAAGAACAUAAAUUUAUUUUCAAGAUUAGUUAACAAAUAUGAUUGAAAAUUUUCAUCUCUAUAUUUUAGAUAAAAUAUUUGAAAAUAAGACUAAAAUAAAAAUAAUACAAGAGCUUGGUAUUGUGUCUUUUAAGUUUGUAUACAGGAUUUUUAAAAAAUAUAAAAAUUAGCCAGUUUUGUAAACAAAAAGAAAAAAAAUUAGAAAUAUUAUUAAGGGUGGAAUCAUAUGUAAAAAUAUUAUCAAAAAAAGGUAGAAAAAUUGCAUGUAUAUGUGAGUGGAAAAGUUGAGUCAAUAUAAAAGGACAUAACAAGAUGAGAGAUGGAAAAAAAAUUAAAAAUUUAAUUGAUGUUUUUAAAAUAAUUUGAAUUAUUAAUACUUUAUUUAUAAAUUAAAUUAUCAUGAAGUAAGAGCUAACAUGGAAGCAAGCCUAUUCGCUUUCCAAUAGUAUAAAUUCGGAAUCAAUAUUUUAUGUUUGGGUUGUAAAAGUUGUUCUGAUAAUCAUUUUUUUUUUUAAAAAAAAAUUAUUUUAAUAUCUAUGCAAGAAAAAAAAAAUAUUCGUAUGCUAAAUGGGCUGAAAGAGGCCGGAGUUUAUAAAGGCCCAAACUACUCCAAGCCAUAGGGGGAGAAAUUUGGGGUGGGCUGGGCUGAAGAGUAGGGUUUGGUGCACACACCUUAAUAUUUUUAGUAUCAAAAAUUAGAAUUUAAGAAUGAAUACAAAAGGAGAUAUUUUCCAUAAUAAUUGAGAGCAAGGGUCCAUUUGAGAUACCUUUUUUUCUUUCUGGCGUUUAGUCGCCAAAAUCAAAGUAAUACUUUUUAAAAAAAUAUAUUAAUAAUACAAAAAAUUAUUAAAUAAUAUGUGUAUAUAUAUAUAUAUAUAUUUACAUGGAAAAAAAAACUACUAAUGUUAAUUUUUUUUUUAAAUCAUAAACCAUUUUAGAAAAUUUCUAACAAAAUAAAAGUUCAUUUAGAGCUUGUGCGGAGCCAUUGGGUAAGAAAAUAUAUUUAAAAUUUUAAUUUCACAAAAUUUUAAAUAUGCGAUGUUUGGAAAGUUAAAAAUAUUUUCUAAUAAUUAGAAGAGUUUUUUUAUUGGAUAUUUUUUGAAAAUUAUGUGUUUGUUACCUAUAAUAUCGAAUAAGAGAUAACAUGGGUCUCUCUGAACCUGGAAAAAACAAUAUCUAUAAUGCAAAUCACUACAAAGGUUUCGAUGUAAUGAGUUGUUUAGACCAAUGAGGUAUGUUUGUUUGUUUGACUCUGUAAUCUUAUAAGACACAACGAGAACAUUGUAUCUGCAUUGUGAUAUCUCACACCAGUUACUCACAUUGCUUAGAAGAAAAAGUUUUAAGUAUAAACUCUUCUUAAUUUUAUAGACGUAGUUUAAAACCAUUAGAAUUCUUUAGACGUUGAACCAAUAAUAUUUAUAAAAUGUUGUCAUCAUUAUUAAAAAUAAUAUUUUUAUUUAUUUAUAUUAUAAUGAAUUAUGUUUUUUUUUUUUUUUAAUAAAAUCUAAGAACCUAAGUAUCAUAUUCACAUAGCUUACAUCAAUCAAAACUAAUUUUACAAAAGUGACACAAAAACUCAAAAAAAAAAAAGAAAAAAAGAAAAAAAAAAGUUUAUAAGUCUAGCUCUCAGUUUGGCAAUUUGCUCCCACCAUAGAUUAGGUCCCCUACCAAGAAAAUUAGACAGAACCAAAAAAAAAAAAAAAAAGAAGAAGAAGGGUAAAGCUGACAGCUUAAUGAACCGCAAACUUCCAACUGUACCAAACCCAAACUAAUGCCCAUUGCCCACCAUUAAUUACACCGAUUCCUUUUGCCAGAGGGAUGCUAAAUCAUGGGUACCGAUCACUGACACUUGUCCACAAUCUUCUAACCGCCGUCGGACACGUGUUCCUGGCAACCUCUCUUUUUCUACCAAUCCAACGGCUCCGAUGGUUUACGGCGCAAGAAAAAGGCGAAAAAGGUAGGUGCAUGGUAUGCAGCUGUCACGUGACGUCGGGUGCCACGGUGUUCGAGAAUGUAGGGCUGAGUGGUAGGAUGCCGGAGGAUGACCGGAUGUAACCGGUGACUAAGGGGUGGGAAGAAGAUGCGUACGGAUAAAGUGGGUUCGCUUUCAGGAAUUUCAACGUGGUAACGGAAAUUAUAACGGCUAACUGAAGAUGGCCCUUUAAUGACAGCUAUUAAAUGCUAUUUAAUAAAAAGUCAUUCUUCGGGGACUCUGGUGAUUUAACCUCAGAAAAUACAGUUACUUUUGCAAUUUAUAUAUAUAUAUAUUAUUUUUAUCAUUUAUGUCCUCAAAUUUUACUAUUUUGCAAGAAAAUUAUUAAAAUUUAAGACAUUGGAGUGGUAAAGCAUGUUAUCAUGAAAAAUAUUUAAAUUUUGUUAUUUUUAUGUUUAUUCCCAUUUGAGUUUCACAUGUAUUUUCUAUUGUAAGAUUGCAAAAUAUUUAUUCAAUUGUUGAGGUGUAUCUUAAUACCAAAUAUAAGAAACAUUCAUGAUCUACUUAGUGACUUUUUGUCCCAACAUUUUUGAAUUAUUCUUUUGAAAUGCUUCUUCCAAUCAAGACAAUAAAUAAAAACUUAAUUUUAUUAAGUCACAUGUGAAUGCCUUGGGAACCAUUUCAAUAUAUUUAAUAAUGAUGGAAAAUAAUUAGUUUUUUAAGUGCUUCAUCCAAUUAUAAUUAUUAUUAUUUUCUGAUUUAGUAUUAUUGUUGUAUUUUAUUUUACUUUUAUUCUAUACUAUAAAACUUUAAGUGUUCCUAAAAAUUUAUUUGACAAUUAUUUUAAGAAGCGUUUCAAUUUUUUUAGGAUUUAAAAACAAUUAUUUUAAUAAAAAAAUUCAGGUAUUAUAAAUAUUAGAAAUGUUUUCUAAAAUUACUAUUAAAUAAAUUCUAAAUUUGUGUGAAUUUGUGAUUAUUAGUAAAUCCAAAAGGCAUCAUAUCAUCAUAAGUUAAGUCAAUAAAAAUAUUAUAAUAAAAAAUUAAACGAUACGGAAUAUUAUUUAUAGAAAUUGUGUAAAUUAACCUUAUAUGUUAUAUAAUAAUACGAUACUAUAUUAAAAUGAUGCUUUUACCCCCGUUGUUUGUUUGUUUUUUUUUUUUUCUUUUAAGAAAAAAAACUACAAAGUAGAGUAUUUAUACAUUCAGUCGAACAAAAAAAAUGCAAUAAUCUUUGAAACCAAACUUUAUAACAUUUUCAAAAAAAUUUGACCUCAAAGUGAUAAAUUCUAAAUUACAGAUAUAUUUUUUAGCUAAAUAAUAUGUUGUUUUAUAAAAUAUAAUUGCAUUUCCAAUAUUUGCUAGCAAAUAGCAAACAUAAUUUGUAUAUCCAAUGAUAUUUUAUAAAAUAAAAUAAAAAAUUAUAUAAUAUAUAUUGUUAAAAAAAAUCAUUUGAAUAAAUAAUUCAAAAAAGCUAAUAUUACAUAAUUACCCAUACCUAAAUCAUAACUUAUUGUGGCACAAUAAAAAAAUUGGUAGUAAAUAAUAGAGAGUUGAAAUUAGCUUAAAAUAUUGGAGGAUAUUUUAGAGAUGGAAGAAUAAUCAUAGCUAUUUAAUAAAAAAAUAAGCAAAAGAAUAGUCCAACUUCACAUACUUUUAAUAAUUUGAUUCAUAUUUUAUAUGUCUAAUUAUAAACCCAUCUAUACUUCCUUGACCAUUCACAUGUGAUUAAUUGCCAGAAAUUCCAUCUAUAUUUAAUCUAUACUUCCUUGACCAUGUACAUGUGAUUAAUUGCCAUAAAUUCCAUCCAUAUGAGUUUUUUUUUUUUUUUUAAAAAAAAAAAAAACUUAGAUUAGAAGUGAACUUAAACCAAAAUCCUAAUUUUAAAUAAUAAAUACUGACAAUGAGAAAAUAAUUUUUGGGGAAGUGUGUUUCGGUGCAAAAGUUAAAUAUAUAUAUAUAUAUAUAUAUAUAUAUAUAUAUAUAUAUAUAUAUAUAUAUAUAUAUCAAAAAAUAAUUAAAAUUUCAUGUACUUUUGCGUGAAAUGUGAUAUUUAUUCGAGCCAAAUGUAUGAACUGUAUUAUUAAAAGGUAACACCUUCUGUCUUUAAUCUAAAAGUAUAUAAAAUAAAAAAUAAUUUUAAAAUAUGAAAACAUGUAUACCUUUUCUUGUAAGAUUUUAUAAGCUAAAACAAGACUUGGAGUCUUUUUUUAGAGCAAUUUUGAAAGAGAUUAAAAGCUUUUUUAAUACUUAAAAAUAUUUUAUUAUAAAACUUAAGCAUUUAAUAAUUUUAAUUUUAAAAUUACUUUAAAAAAUCUGGUGAAUCAAUUGGAGUCAACUUGAUAAGUGAUUCUUUGAAUAAUCACCUUUUUUAUUGUAUAAUUAUAUUACCGAAAAAUUUUCAAAAUAGAAAUGAAUGAUUUUGUUUUUUUAUUUUUUUUUCUAUCAUUUAGGGAUAAUUUUGUAUUUAUAUGGUUUCAUAACCAAAUAUUCAUAAUUGGCUAGAUUGUUGAUAUAAAUAAUAUUAGAAUACAAAAAACGUCCUUAUAUGAGCUUCCCCGUAAGAAGAAACUCUCGGUAAGAUUAAGAAAAAAAAGCUUGUUCUUUCUCUCUAAUUAAUUAUUCAAAAAAUUCUAAAUCUAGUCUUUUCAAAAAAACAGGUUACAGUACUUUUGUGUUUACGAGCCAAAGUUCAAGCACAAAAAAGUUGAAGUAUAUAUUUGAUUAUUUAUAUCAAAUUACCAAGGUAGUUUUUGGUAAAACUUAUUACUUAAUUCUUACUUGUUUGAUAAAAUUAAUAUGAAAUUUAUUCUAAAAUAUCAAAUUGACAUAUUUAUCUUUAUAAAUUAUAAUUAGGAUAAAAAAAGAUUGAAUAACAAUGAAGGACAUGAAGUAGAAAAAGAGAUUCGUGAAAGUAAUUAAGACAAAUGUGAAUAAAAAUAUAAAAUAAAAAUGCAAACUUACAAAUAAAUUAAUGGUUUUUACUUAUUACUUAACGUUAUUUUUGGCUUUAAGUCAUAUUAUUAAAUUAUUUUACCAAAUAUAUUUAAUUUACUUAAUAGUUUAAAUCAAAUUAAAUUAUUAAGUCACUUUAAAUUAUUAAGUUGGUUUACCAUAGAUACGAUAACUCUUAAAAACUUACAUUAGACAGAAAAAAAAUUAAUUAUUUAAAAUUUGAAUAUUUUUAAAAUUUAAANNNNNNNNNNNNNNNNNNNNNNNNNNNNNNNNNNNNNNNNNNNNNNNNNNNNNNNNNNNNNNNNNNNNNNNNNNNNNNNNNNNNNNNNNNNNNNNNNNNNAUACGAUAACUCUUAAAAACUUACAUUAGACAAGAAAAAAAAAUUAAAUUAUUUAAAAUUUUGAAUAUUUUUAAAAUUUUAAAAUAAAUUUAUAAAUUUUUAUAUAUAUUUGGAUAAUUCUAUUGAAAUUUUUUUGGACAUCUAGGUGUUAAUGACUAGGAAUAGAUAUUACUACGAAUAAAAUCAUUAUAAUAUGGAAAUUGUCUUUUACCUAAAAAAUUAUUUAUUUUAAAUCAAAUUUAGAAUCAUUUUAGGUAAUUUAGAUUACGUUUGAGAGUUAUUUUAGAAAACGUUUCUAUCAUUUUUAAUAUUUGAAUGAUAAAAUUUUUUAAGUAUUAAAAAUGUUAAAAACACUUUACACAAUCAUCAUCCAACGAGUUCUUAAUAUUUUACAUUAUUAGUAAAAGGGUUUUUAUGUUAUUUCUGACCGUAGUCUAAAUUCAAAUGUUUUGGUACAAAUCUUCCAACCAAAUCUGAAUUGAUCUUCAAAAUCCCAAUUAAAAAAAUGUCCACCGUCGAUUACGUUGACCGUCACCGCCCAUUCCCGUCAACCCUCUGACGAAACGAAAAUGUUUAUAAGGGCCAAGGGGAGUGUGGAUUUCGUGUGCCCUGAAAAGCGUGUUGGGGUAAGAAGGUCGGCGUCGAUGGAUUCCACCUUCGAAGUUCGAACCCGGAUAUCCAUGGUUUACACACUCACACUAAACCACGUAGCCAAACACGGCCCCACAACCCCGCCCCCCCCCCCCCCCCCCCNNNNNNNNNNNNNNNNNNNNNNNNNNNNNNNNNNNNNNNNNNNNNNNNNNNNNNNNNNNNNNNNNNNNNNNNNNNNNNNNNNNNNNNNNNNNNNNNNNNNCCCCCCCCCCCCCUCCCCCCUUGAAAUGACCAUAACGCCCUCAGUCGCCACGAGUUAGGAGUGAUUCGUUUUUCUGUUAGGCUGUCUCCACCAACUCCGAAACAGAACGCCCCCUCCCAUAUUAUUAGAGAGAUAUGGAUAUAUAUAUCCAUAAAUGACCAAAAUGCCCCUGUCGCCCCAAGGUGGUUAGUUAUGAAUUUAGGUGAGGGUGUUAAUCAUGAGAAAGCGUUGUGGUGCAUUAUAGAACAGAUAAGAGUUAGGUAAAUUUGGAAUUUCGGGAUUUAAAUGUGUCUUCUCGGGAAAAGAAUAUGCGGUGGAGGGCGUAGGUUGAGGUGGGUGUGUGACACGUGGCACUUUUGACAAAUAUCUUUGCCACGUGGCAACGCCAAAAUGGGUUGAUGCUAUUUUGAGACAAGUGAAGAUAAAGGGGGUAGCUUAGAUGGGUCUUUUGCUAACCAAUUUCUCCCAAAUUUUGCCCACACGCAACAAAGAAUGAGUUGGUUUGGUAGAAGUAAUCUAUGUGAAAUUACAUACUUGGUUUGUAUCUCAAGUUGAUAUCAUUGACCCAAAAACUAUAUCUACAUAUACUUUAUAUUAGGUCUUGGAUUCUCUAAUCAAGAUUCUUGAAUGAUAUCAAUUUUUUUCAAUGUAUUCAAGUUGAAUUAGGGAGACCCUAAUUUUUAGGCUUAUUAUUGUGAUGAUAAUAAUAAUAAUGGUUAUAAUUAUGAAUGUUGAAAGUUUAAUAUUCAAUUGAGGAUAUGAUUUGACCUUUUAAAUAAUCAAAAUUCAACCAUAGGGAGUUGUAGAUUAGGUUAUGGGCAUGGUAAGGAUCAUGUUCUUUGUUUCAAGCACCAAAUAAUAAUAAUAAUAAUAAUAGUUGUUAUCUAUGACAUUGGUUUAGACUUCAUAACAUUUUUCCACAUUAUAUUUUUAUUUUUCUACAUAAAAAAUUGAAAUUUGAAAGACACAAGUUUUUGAGUAAUUUUUUUAUUAUUUGAGUUCCCUUUCCACCAAACUAAAGAAUUUAAGGGUAUUUUAGAACAAUUUUUGGAAAUUGUUGUCUAAUAUUUUAUAAAGUAAAAGUCUGUUUAAAAAUUUAAAAUAUUUUUAAUUUAUUUUUAAUAUUUUUAAAUAUGUUUUAAAAAUAUUUUUUUUAUAUUUAGUAUUUUAUUUGUAAUCAUUUUACAUGUUUAUAUAAUUAUUUUUUAAAACAACUUUAAAAAAAUGAAAACAACAUAAAAAAAAACUAAAAAAUGUUAUAUAUAACGAAAAAUUGAAAACAAUUUUUUAUUAUUAUACAUUUUUUUUUGGUUUCUCAAAAACAAUUGUUAACACAGGCCUUCGAGAAUUUUUUUAUUUAAUUUUUUUUACUACUUUCAUAAUUCAAAUAAGAAAAAUAUGAGGGUAUGGCAUCUUAUUAAAGUUCUUACGUUGAAGUAUGGAUAACUAAUAGAGAUUAUAAAUAACGAUAGUAAGACACAAAAGAAUUAAAUUAGGUACAGAUAAUGGAAUUAAGGCGUAAAAGAAUUAGACCAAGUACAAAAUGAUGUAAUCUCGCAUGUAACAUGAUUGAUUUUUUUAUUUUUUAUUUUUGGUAUAUACUAAUUUGAUAUUCUAUGUGAUCCUUUGAAUACAACCUAAAAGUUUAAUUCGAGGUAUAAUUUGGUAUGUAACUAGAAAACUUAAAGUGGGGAAUUUAACUCAAUGUAAGCGAUUAAUACCAAGACUUUUUGGAGAUGGUUACCAAAAUUGUGAAUGAAGAUUGUUGGAAUAUAUAGAGAAGAAACGUUUCAAUUCAAAUCUAAAUGACAUAAGAUCACACAUGAAAAAUGCUUCCCCAAUGGCUUGGUGUUGAAGCCAAAGGAAUUGGGAAUGUGGACAAGAACUUUCACAAUCUUUUUUAGCCACCAUUUUGGGUUUCACCAAAUAUUUAUUUGAUUGAGAAAUUGGGAGGUCACGCUUCUCAUGAGGACCAACUUGCUCUCCCAUCACAUUGAUUUAAUACAUAGCUCAAGCUCUCAUGUUCAUACCAAAAACAUGUGUGCAAAAAUAAAUACAAAAUAUUAUUAAAAAAAAAAUAAUUGGGGUGCCACCAUAAGUAAUUUAUGGAAAUGGGUCUUUUUUUUUUUUUUUUUUUAUCACGAGAAAAAAAAAUCAAAAAAACACAACACCCUUUUAAUACUUAGAUAACAAAUCAUCACAUUUAUUAAUUUUCCUAAUUACAUUAGGAAUUAUUAGAAAGGAUUUAAGAUAACCUUUUUUUUUUCUAAAAAUUAAACAUUCUAUUAAAAUUUAUAGAAUAAUUCUCAAAUUAGCAAUGAUAGUUGUUUUUGAAUACUCGUUAAUUUUUUAUAGAAAUAUUUUUAAUUUUAAUGUCAUAAAUGUGUUUACCAUAGUUAGAAUUCUUUUAACAAUAAUUUUAGAAAAUAUUUUUAAAAAUAUAAAAAAUCACUUAUAAUAUUUUUUGAAGAAACAUUUGAUAAGUAGGGUGGAAUGGGCGGGUAUGAAAAUUUCCCCCCACUCUAUCUUACCUCAUCUCAUUUAAUUUUUUUUAAUGGAACGAUGAUGAUAAAUUUUUUGAAUAAACAGGACGGAAUUGAGAUAUGAUCGACUUGUCCCAAACCUAUCUCAAUGUCAUUCCUACUCUAUAAUAAAUCAUCAAUACUUUUAGAGUUUGUUUCUCAUAACAUAAAAAUAUCUUAUGUCAAAUUAUAAAAAAAAAACAUUAUUAUAAUAUUUGCAUUUUUAUUCGAAGUAAAAACGAUAAUUUUUAAAUUAGUGAACAUGUUAUUUGUUUUUCUUUUUUAUCAAAUUAAAUUAUAUAAAAUUCAUGAAAGAAACACGUGUAAUGAUCAAUCCAUUGCAUGAUAUGAUAAGGCAAAUUACUUUCAUUUUGUAAUCAUAAAAUGCAUGUGAAGAUCACCUAUCUUAAUCAUUUAAUUUUAACCAUUUAGAAUCAAACAUUUCAUAAGUGAGAGCCUCGAGUAUACAAAUAUUUCUCAAUGUGUUAAUAGUGUAUAGAAAAAAAAUUGGUGUCAAAAUUCAAACAUAAUCAUCUUCACUUAGUACUUAUGCCAGCCCCCAAAACAACAGUUGGAACCCUUAAAAAAUAAAAUAAAAAUAUUAAAAAAAGAAAAAAGAAAAAAGAAAAAAAGAAAGUAAGCUUUGAAAUCCAUCUUAUCUUCUUCAUCAAUCCAUGAAGUGAAAAAACUCAUCAAAAGAUCAAAUGGUUGGUAUCUAAUCAUCCACUUUCAACCCCAUUUUUCUGACAUGGAGGCCAAUUUCAAAAUUGGUGGGGGUCCCCUUUUUACCCAACACCACCCUCUUGCAAAACCAUGUUACAAAUUUUGAGGGUAUUUUCGUCAAUUAAUAAUUAUUUUGCGAUUAAAUUAAUUGUGAAUAAUUUACAAAAUUGAAGAGAAUUUUACUUUAAUUUGAAGCAAUAGAAGCAGGAUGGGCAUUUUCUUGGCAGAAACUUUUAGGUAUUUUGAUUUUUAUUAUUUAAAUGGUUGGGGUUUUGCCAACGUAGACAGCUUUCUGGUUUUUGAAAUUCUAUACUCAGACGUAAAGUCAGUACACUGGCAGGUGUAAGUCAACCCUCCUAAACCCACCGGCUAUUUCCGGUUACGACAAACCCCGUUACUGGAUUUCGAAUCGACGAGCCGGAGGUGGGGACGUAAGGGUUACAGUGCUGUUAUUUAAGUUUGUGCCCAGGACAAACUCGUGAGGUGCCACGUGUGUUAUGGAUUGCGUUCAUGGGUUAAUGGGGCUGGGGUUUUGUGAAAGUCUCUCUCACCAUGCUGUCGCGGAAUCAUCGCAGUAUAAAGAUCAUCUCUUGCACAUAAACGGAAUUCCAAGCGCACGCUUAAAUUUAGCGCGUGCUUUGAACCUUUGGUUGGAACUUGGAAGUGGCGGCAGUGCCUUUGUCAGGUGGUUUUGAGAGAACCGACUUACUCGCAUUGGAUUUCAAUUUUGAAUUGCAGAGCCUGAACGUGCAAUCACGCGUCAAAACACGAGAGUAGGGACGGUUACUCUCCUAACACCGAAGCGGGAUAACAGUGUGAAAGCAAGGUGUUCGUCUCACUUAAGAAAUCACCGUUCAUUGUCUUCAAAAGCGGGAAUAAGUCAAAUCAGGGAGAAUCCAACGGCUCAGAGGCGAUGGCGUACGUACUCGUGAGCUUAUAAGAAUAAAUACUAUAUAUAUAUAUAAAUAUAUAUGCAUAUAAAAAAAACUGAAAAACCAAAACCAGAGAACAAUAGCUUGUUUGGAAACUGAUCUCUGUCUAUUUGAAACUCUCCCGUCUCGAAACGACGAGAAUCGAUUCAAUCGCAUAGGUGCAAACGCUCAUUCUUUUUAAGUUCUCAUGUAUUUGGCGAGAAACGACGCCGUAUAACUCUGCCGGAAACAUUCUCGGCGGAUCACCAUGUCUUCAGGCUUUCCCGGCGGUGCACCGGACUUCUACGCCUCCGGUGGAAUCGGUGGAAGAUCCGUCGCCAUGAACAACAACCCUCAUGUUCCGUACAGGUCUCAGAUGCCCGGAAUUCUCGUCGACCCAUCUUCUCAGAUCGUUCAACGCCGGCCUGAUUGGAUCGGAAAACGGUCGCUGGCGGAGUUUCAGGCCCAGCAUCAGCAACAGCAACAGCAACAGCAACAGCAGCAACCAGGUUUAGGGCUUCUUCUCCGGUCCGUGAAGCCGAGGAUGUACCAGCAUGCUUCUCCAAUAUCUCCUCUUUCACCGGUGGACUAUUCAGCCUCCAUCUCGCCGGAGUUUCCGUCGGUUUCAGCGGGAAGGUAUGGAUUGCCUCUUCUUCAACAGCUACGACCGCAACCCAUCGCGCUUGGUAACAACGUGAUGGCUCCUCGGACCGCUAAUUUAUCGACUGUGACAUACCCAAAUUUCCCUCACAAUAGAGGUGCGUUACAAGAAUCAGAGCCGGAAUCAGAGAAGAAGAUUAUGAAUCGGCUCCAGGAACUCGAGAAACAGCUGUUAGACGACGACGACGUCGACCAAGAGGGCGAUGCUGUGUCUGUCGUCACGCACAGCGAGUGGUCGGAAGCCAUACAGAGCCUCAUCAUCCCAAAUCAAAAGCCCAUUUCGCCAUCAUCUUCGUCUUCUUCAACGUCAUCGAUCGCUUCUGCGGUACCCAUCUGCCCCAAGCAAUCGGCCCACGAAGCCGCAUCUGCCAUAUCCGAAGGCAUGUUGGACGCAGCGAUGGAGUCCCUCACGCGCCUGACCCUGGUCGCCAACGCUCGAGGUAAUUCAGAGCAACGUUUAGCGGCGUACAUGGCGUCGGCGCUCAAAUCCCGAUUGAGCGCAGCCGAGAAUCCGCCUCCAGUGGCGGAGCUCUACAGCAAGGACCAUAUAAUGGCAACCCAAAUGCUGUACGAUAUGUCUCCGUGCUUCAAGCUGGGGUUCAUGGCGGCAAACCUUGCAAUUCUUGAAACGACGUCGUCGGAGCAGAGCGCCGCCAAGUUUCACGUUCUCGAUUUCGACAUCGGCCAAGGAGGCCAAUACGUAAACUUGGUCCACGCCCUCGGUGCGCGUCAAAACGGGAAGCACACUUCCUUGAAAAUCACCACCAUCGCAGAUCCCAGCAAUGGUGGCACCGACGAGAGGUUGAAAGUGGGCGAAGAUCUGAGUCAACUCGCGGAACGGCUUUGCAUCAGCUUGAAAUUCAAGGUCGUGACUCAUAAAAUCCAUGAACUGAGUCGCGAGUCACUGGGCUGCGAGUCCGAUGAGGUCCUGGUGGUGAAUUUAGCGUUCAAGCUCUACAAAAUGCCGGACGAGAGCGUGACGACGGAGAACCCUCGUGACGAGCUUCUCCGGCGGGUGAAGUCUUUGCAGCCGCGGGUGGUGACUGUGGUGGAGCAAGAGAUGAAUGCAAAUACUGCGCCUUUUUUGACCAGGGUGAACGAGGCCUGCGCAUACUAUGGUGCUUUGCUCGACUCGCUAGACUCGACCGUGUCAAGAGACAGAUCGGAAAGAGUCCAAGUCGAGGAGUGUCUGGGUCGCAAACUGGCAAACUCGGUUGCGUGCGAAGGGAGGGACCGCGUGGAAAGAUGCGAGGUGUUUGGGAAGUGGCGGGCCCGGAUGGGCAUGGCCGGGUUCGAGCCCAGGCCCAUGAGUCAACACAUUGCCGACUCAAUGAGAUCCCGCGUCAACUCACACCAGCGCGGUAACCCAGGAUUCACCGUCAAAGAAGAAACCGGUGGGAUCUGCUUUGGAUGGAACGGACGAACUCUCACCGUCGCAUCUGCUUGGCGUUAACUUCACUCUCUCUCUCUCUCAAAUUAUCAUUAUUAUUAAUAUUAUCAAUAUUAAUUGUUAUAUUUUUAACGUUUUCUCGAGAAAAAAAAAAUGAAGGGUAAAGAAAGAAAGACCCACCAACAAAAAAAUAAACGGGGGUUGUUUGGAUGGAAGGAAAAUUCGAGCAUAGUGCAUUUAUUGAUAUUUGGUGGAAGGGUUGGGGGGGUGUUUGGUAAUGGCUGACUUGUAAUGGAUGGGGCCUCACAUUAGUGGCAAAGAAGGGGCUCCACUUAUAGAUUAUUUUUUGUUUCUUUUUUGAGUUUUAGUUGAACUUAUUUAGGUAAUUUUAGUUAUGCGUGAGCCUCGUGUCAACUUCUCAUUGGUUACAUCACACUUUUCCUUUUCUCCUUCUUCUCUCUCACCCAUUUUUAUUUUACAAAUUACAACAAGGAGUGUAUGGGAUUUCACGUGCGCAUGCUGAGAAAUUCAGAAAUCAAGAUGUUAAAUUCGUUGCCAAACAUGCUCGUUUCGUUGUUGUUUGUGUGGGGCAUAGUGAGUUCUGUGCCCCCAAUAGGUGGUGACGUGGGCGUGCUGAUGUAGCAAGCAAUGACCCCAAAAUUAUGGAAUGUUGUGUGCUUUGGGCCACCCUGCCAUCUUUAUCUCCAUUCAAACUGGCCCAUUUCACUGUACUUCCCCAACUGAUUCAGACCAUCGAAGUUUAUAUGCCCGGCUCUUUCUUUACUGUGGAUUGGUUGAAACUUAAAGCUAGAUUGUGUUUGUUGUCUCAUUAUAUUCAAAAAAAAAAAAAAAAAAAAAAACUAUGGAUUUAUUUUCCUUUCAAAGCAUUGGCUUUAUUUAUAUUCAAUUUUUUUUUUUGGUAUACUAACAAAAAUACUAAGACUUUGUUUGAUUUGUGAAAGAAAAAAAAUAAAAAAUAGAUUCAAAACUAAUAAAUUAUUUUAUAUCUCUUCAAUUUAUUUCACUUAUUUUCCUCCAUUUUAUAAAUAUUAAAUAAUUUUAAAAUAUAUAAUUUUUAGUUAAUUUUAAUUAUAUACUAUGAAACCAAAUACAAGAAAAUAAUUUAUCUUUAACUCUUUUUUUUUACUUGUCAAAACCAAACAUAGCCCAAGGGUUAUAUUAUCUUCAUGAUAUCUUAUGUUUGGUUUCCCAAGGGAAAUACAAGGAAAAUAAAAUAAAAAUAAAAAAUAGAUUUAAAAUUGAUAAAUUAUUCUUAUUUACCAUUUCAAACUCAUUUCACUUGUUAGCUCAUUGAUGCAAAAAUUAAAUAAUUUGAAAUUAUGUAUGUUUUUAAUUUGUUUUAAUUAUAAUUGAUUUUUUAUAUUUUUUAUAGGUCAAUUAAAAAUGAGAAUUUUUUUUUUAAUUUUCUUAGUAUUUUGAAAUCAUGAAUUUCACAUAAAAUCCAAUUUGGCACAAAUUAUAAUAAUUUUAGAAUUUCUAUAAAAUGGGAAAUAUUAAUGAAAAUGGUCAUUAAUGAUAGUAAUGAUGGAAAAUAAAGAGAGUACAGAUGUUAUGGAUUUUAUGUUUUAAUCACAAAUAAAUGCAUAAUAAAAGGGGGAAGAGAUGGGAAGGAGUUACGAUUAUGAUGAUGUUAUGGUAGAGAGUUAUUGAUGCGUGACCAAACAAAAAUAAAUUGAAGCAAAUACUCAUAAAAAUCUUGGAUAUCAGUGGAAGAUUUAACAUAAAUGAUAUUGAUACCCAAAUUUAUUGAUAUUCAACAACAUGCCCAUGAGAGAACGGGAGAGUUAAUUCUAAUUAAAUAUGCAUGAUAAAUGUCGGGAUAAUUUAGGAUUUUUAAAUUUAAAAAAAAAAAAAAAAACUACACUAAAUUUUCAGGAACAUUCUCAUAUUUUUAUCUUUCAUUGCAAUUCUAUGUAUUAAAUCUUGAUUGACUAAGAGGGUAAUUAUUCAUAAUAGAAAAAUAUUCUAAUAAUUUCUUUUUUUUUUUUAAGGAUAAUAUGCGUAUAGACUUUUUUUUUUUUUUAAAUAUCCUUAAUGUCUUUCUAUUUUUGGUCAUAUUUAUUAAUCAAUUCAUUGCAAUUUUUUUUGUUACUAUAAUAGUAAUAUUGAUUUUAAUUUUUAAUUGGUAAGUGUUUUAUUGUAUUGAUUUAAUUUACAUUUUUGUUUUUAUAUGAAUUUUGACUUAUUUAAUUUGUAACCUUUCCCAUCCAAUUUCCUUUUAUUUCAUUUUAUUAUAAGAAAUAUUUUCCAUUUUUUAAUAACUUGGAAAAUGUUCCUUGUAUUUUUUUUUCUUAUUAUAAUUAUAUUGCCAAAUAUUUUAUUUUAUUGCUUUAAUUUCCUUUGAAUAUAAUAAUUCUUGCUUGUCAUUUUAAUUAGUGAUUGUAGUUUGUAAGGAAGUUACCUUAUUUUUAAGCUAUUUUUAUAUUUUAUGAUUUUUAUUUAUUUUUAAUUAAUUUCAACUAUUCCUUUCAAUUCAGGGCCUUCCAUGUUACCUUGAACCUUUGUUCCAAGGUUCAAGCCCUCUUCUUCCACGCUUUGAAUUUUAUUUCAAUAAGCUACAAUUCAUCCCACAUCGAAACUUCAUGGGGAUGAAAAGAGGUUAUAAACCUCAGUCAACCUGAAUAGGGCA